rnacentral:lncRNA from 1 species
GUCUUUCAAAAAUGCACUAGAUAAAGCACCUACACAGAUAAAAUGCAACAAGCUAGUAUUAAAAGACACAACCAGGUCUCAUAACAUCCAGGUUUCACCGAAGCUUACAUUAGGACACAGUAUGUAAAAGGCACAAGACAGACGACCACCAAGGGCACGAUAUGCAGCGCUAACAGCUGAACAGCUAAAAUAUACCAGUACGAACAAUGCCCUUAACAAAACUCAGCCAAUACUAAAAACUGCUUGGUGUCUGAACAGUGAUUUGGAUAUCAAUGUCGAAUUACUUCUUCUUGAUGGCAGCCUUGGUCACCUUGGCCCCGGUUGGGUCCUUCUUCUCGACGCCCUUGAUGACACCAACAGCCACAGUCUGCCUCAUGUCACGGACAGCAAAACGACCAAGAGGCGGGUAAGUGGCAAAGGUCUCCACAACCAUGGGCUUGGUGGGAAUCAUCUUCACUAUGCCAGCAUCACCAUUCUUGAGGAACUUGGGCGCGGCCUCUAUCUCCUUACCAGAUCGCCUGUCAAUCUUGGUCACCAGCUCAGCAAACUUGACAGCAAUGUGCGAGGUGUGGCAGUCCAGCACUGGGGCGUAGCCGUUGCCAAUCUGACCAGGGUGGUUCAUGAUGAUGACCUGGGAGGUGAAGUUGGCUGCCUCCUUGGCAGGGUCAUCCUUGGAGUUGGAUGCAACAAAACCACGCUUCAGAUCCUUCACGGCAACGUUCUUGACGUUGAAGCCGACGUUGUCACCAGGAAGCGCCUCCAGGAGAGACUCGUGGUGCAUCUCAACAGACUUGACCUCAGUUGUCAGACCAGUGGGACCAAAGGUAACAACCAUACCAGGCUUGAUGACACCAGUCUCAACACGGCCAACAGGCACAGUUCCAAUGCCACCAAUCUUGUAAACGUCCUGGAGGGGAAGACGGAGGGGCUUGUCUGAGGGCCUCUUGGGCUCAUUGAUCUGGUCAAGCGCCUCAAGCAGGGUUGGGCCCUUGUACCAGUCAAGGUUGGUGGACCUCUCAAUCAUGUUGUCACCCUCGAACCCAGAGAUGGGGACGAAGGGAACCUUUUCAGGGUUGUAGCCGACCUUCUUCAGGUAGGAAGAGACCUCCUUCACAAUUUCUUCGUAACGCGCCUUUGAGUACUUGGGAGUGGUGGCGUCCAUCUAAGAAAUAACAGUAGAACAGUUAAAUGAUACUCAGCCAAGAUGGAACUGUAAGAUAUUACGAACAGGUAACAGCAAAAAACUUGAUUAUACUAUCAUAACUAGCAUAAACAAGCAGAACAAUCAACUAGCACAGCAUGACCAAGCACAGAGUGAGAAUUAAACAUUAGAACAGCAGAACAAUCAACUAGUUACAGGAAAAACUGCAGGGAUGGGAGUACAGGAUAACAAUAGACAAAUAUUAAUACAUUGUGGAUAGUUCUUAUCUAGAUGAUGAAAAGUCACAUCCAACUCCUACACCAUUUAAUAUUACAUGAAGAUUCAUACAUGUAGAAGCUGGUAUAUCCAAAUGUACUACAAAUCAAACAUACAAUUAAACCACUAUAAUCAAAAUAUGUGUGCAGCAAUAUGAAUAGCAAUUGAUUCAGAACAUGUUUACAUGUUAGUUAAAAUCAAGAACUUGGAUCAUAUAGCAACCUCAAAUAAGUCUACCACACAAGUAGCAACAUCUAUACACAGUAUAUGGCCUUUCAGGGAUGAAGUGUUUUGACAAGUUAUACCUUGUUGCAGCAGCAGAUCAUCUGCUUCACUCCAAGAGUGAAAGCAAGGAGAGCGUGCUCACGUGUCUGGCCAUCCUUGGAGAUACCAGCCUCAAAACCACCAGUGGUGGAGUCGAUGAUGAGAACAGCACAGUCAGCCUGGGAGGUACCGGUGAUCAUGUUCUUGAUGAAGUCACGGUGACCAGGGGCAUCAAUGACGGUGCAGUAGUACUUGGUGGUCUCGAACUUCCAGAGGGCAAUAUCGAUGGUGAUACCCCUCUCACGCUCGGCCUUGAGCUUGUCAAGCACCCAGGCGUACUUGAAAGACCUCUUGUUCAUUUCAGCGGCUUCCUUCUCGAACCUCUCGAUCACACGCUUGUCAAUGCCUCCAAGCUUAUAGAUCAGGUGGCCAGUGGUCGUCGACUUGCCAGAGUCGACGUGGCCAAUGACCACGAUGUUGAUGUGAGUCUUCUCCUUACCCAUGGCUGAAGCUCUGCACAAUCAAUCAGAAAAAGUUAGACAAAAAUGGACCAGAACGAAGAACUGGCAUGAACUGGAACACUAAUAUGAGCAGAAGGCUAUCGGACUGCAGGCCUAGAUCUAGAAACACGACACGAAGACGAUUUACAAACUGAUCGGGCUAGAUCUAUAGCAGAUAGUUUGCAAUCACUAGUUAUACUACGAAAUCAGUCUACGAAAUUGAGAUACUAGUCCAUCUACCGACAGAUUCAGCAAAGUAUCGAAACGAUUCGGUAAUACUUCGCGCUUGCGGCUGCUCUAGCAAUUUCGUAGUGAAUCUACAGAUCGAGGCAACAGUACGAACAUGGAGAAAAUCCUUCUCGACGCUAUACAAACAAACGAUGCAUCCGCGAAAAAAGUGCCUAAAACUCGACCGGCUGGAUUGGAGGCUACCAAGAUGAGCGUGGAACACGGGAGCUUCGCUCCAUCGAUGAAGAUCUAAGCGCACUGGAGAUGGCUCGGGAGACUGACCUCGAAGGAAGGAGAGGGAACCGAGAGGAGGAGGCGGCGGCGGCGGCGGCGGUCGGGGGGAAGAAAGGGGACUGAGGAGGGUUCGGGCGAGCGGAAUGGCUCCCCUAUUUAUACUGGCAGCGGAGGGCUCUAGGGUUCCUUCCUGGCCGCCUGAUCCAUGUCUGGUGCUUGUCGCUGUGAUUUACAUUAUCCGUUCGAUUUUGAUCGUACGAACUGUAUUAUUUUACAGGUUGAUGAAUGGGUUUUUAGACAUUUCGCAGGCCGCAAGUUCGGCAUCCUGGAUUUACGUAGGGUGCACGUUCCCUGUGGGAUACUGGAGCAGGAGGCCGGCAGAGCACUUGCUUUUAAAAAAUGUUUUACCCUUCCCUUCUUAUUUCGACUACUUUGCCAGAAGCGUCAAAAAAAAAGUACUACUUUGCUAACUUUCAUUUUAUUUCAUUUUUUUGAAAAAAAAUCUAUAAAAGUUCAUCAUAAGACAAAGCACCUCGACAUAAUAAAAAUUCUCGCGGCUCCCUUUCAGAGUCAGCUUUGACCUUGUCGUUUUUUCCUUUUUUUUAACAUGAUACAGACAUAGACGCUCGUAUAUACUCACAUACACUCAUCCCGAACGUCUCCCACAGAACACACAUCGCCGGAAGGCCGGAAAAAAAUCCAGUAAAAUGCGACCACCAAUGUCAAGUAUAAGACUUGAACCCUGAUGGGCUGAACAUAGCACUGUCCUCCUAACCAUCCAACCACAAGUUGGUUCGCCAGCUUGACUUUGUUGAUGACAGCGAGAAAGUGUUCGUGCACGUGCCCAUAAGGACCAGCACCCUGUAGUCGCAAUCAUCACCAUUGAAACCUUGAAUAUAUUUGAAAUAACUCACACCAAAUCUCGUUAUCGUGCACACACUAUGAGAAACCCUAACAUCGCCGCCCCAAUGAGACGGCAAGAAUCUACACCGGAGCUUUGUCGACUAUGUCCAGAUGAGCGAAAUCGAGGAGGAUCGAAGCCUAGAAGACAAACUUGAGGAAGAAGCAUCGUCAUCCUCCCAAGCGUCGCAUCUACGAGGACUAAAAAAUUCGAACAUAAACUACUAGCCAGAACGAAGGCACUGGAUUCCUCUCCCGCCACCGGCUGCCAGAGCGACAAGGAGAGGGGAAACGAAUCCAGAGGCUCGUCUAUGAUGUCUAGAGGGGAGAGUUUUCCCUAUCCAUAGAGCGGAAGGGGGAAACGUGUGGAGUGCUAAUUUUUUAUUUAUGGGUUAAUAUAUUGGAAGUUGUUUCAAACAUAUUAUUUUGAUAAAGUUUCCAUGCCAUCUUGGAUCCGAAAUUUGACUUAUUUAAGUAAUGUUGAUAGUAAAUAGUACUCCCUCCGUCCGGGUUUAUUAGGCCUCUCAGCAUCACAAGCAUGUCCCCUUUUAUAAGGCCCCGCGUUGGAAAGGUGCAUGCAUGCAACCAUUUCAUUGGUUGUAUUAAAAGCUAUUGUUGUUGGUGCCAUGGCUGAAAAGUUAAUACACUUCAUGUGUGCUUUUUCAUUGGCUGCAUGCAUGUGAGAGAGUGCAUUGGUAGUGGAAUGGAAGAAUUAAUGUGAGCAAAUUACUAUGUGUCUUGGUCUAAGAGAAGUUGUCUUUAGGCCUAAUAAACCCGGACGGAGGGAGUAAUUGUGUACGUGUAAUGCACGUUAGUAUUAUGCAGUGUAUUAAUUAUAUUAUAAAUUUAUAGUAGACAAUAUAUAAAUUGCAUGUUAAUAUUAGGUAGCAUAUAAAUACUUUGUUUAUGCUAACAUUGAUAUCAUACAUGGUAUUAAUUAGUGGAGAGUGACAAAUGUGUUUAGUGCUAAACAUGAAAAAAACAAGAGAAAAAGAGAGAGGGGGCACACUACUAUCUUUUUACCACACAUGUCCCUCAAAGUAGCACCAUGUAUUGCAUAUAUAAAGUCUCCACGAUUUUCGUUUUCAUAUACUAGUGGGAUUUAUACAUUAUAGAACUUGACUUGCAUAUUCCGAUGACGAGCUUCCUCAAAAUGCUCUAGGUCUUCAUGAGCAAGUAAGUUGGAUGCAAACCCACUUAGUUUCAUAUAGAGAACUUUCAUACAUUUAUAGCUCGAGUGCAUCUGUUGCAUGACAAUCCCUACUACUCAUGCUCGAGUAUUUUGUGAGAGUUGAAAAAGCUGAAGCAAGAAAAAGUAUGAUUUAAUUGCUUGGUUUGGCAUCGAGAUUGUUCAUGAUUUGAUAUCUUUGUGUUAGGAAGACUGAGCAUGUCAUGCGUUUCAUGAUUAAGUGUGUAGGGAUCACAUUCUUUAGCGUUUUUAUUUUGAAAGGCAAUGAAUGUUUACUAGUAUGUUUAUGUAUUAUUAUUUCAAUGUCAAGUUGAUAGACUUUUGCCUUGAAUGACUCGUAUCCCAAUAUUCAUACCAUGAUUAUAUCAUUUGAUCAAGAACAUGUUAGGCAGCAUUUAACAUAAAAAAUUCUUUUCUUAUCAUUUACCUACUCGUGGACGAGUAAGAAUUAAGCUUAUGGAUAUUGAUACAUCUCAAACGUAUCUAUAAUUUUUUUAUUGUUAAAUAUUAUUAUAUUAUCACUUUUGUAUGUUUUAUAUAUCAUUUUAUAUAAUUUUUCUAGACUAAUUAUUAAUUUAGUGCUUGGUGCCAGUUCCUAUUUUUGCAUGUUUUUGGUUUUCCAGAAGAUACAUACCUACGGAAGUCCAAACACGACAAAACUUUUUGACGAUUUUUUCUGGACAAUAAGAGAACCUAGAAACGUCGGGGAAAGACCAGAAGACCUCGAGGGCCCCACAAGGCAGGGGGCGUGCCCUGGAGGGUACGACGUGCCACACUAGCUUGUGGUCCCCUUGUAGCUCCGUUUGCCCUAAUUCUUGGCCUAUAAAGUCCCAAAUAUUCAAAAACCCUCAAAGAGAGACCUGAUACAAUUUUCUCACCAACGUGAGCCUCUGAUGUGAAGCAUCCUGUCUGGAGCCCUUUUCCGGCACUUUGCUGGAGGGGGUCAUUGGGGAGGCAAUCUUCAUCAACCUUGUGAAGGAAAUAUGCCCUAGAGGCAAUAAUAAAGUUGUUAUUUAUAUUUCCUUAUAUCAUGAUAAAUGUUUAUUAUGCAUGCUAGAAUUGUAUUAACCGGAAACUUAAUACAUGUGUGAAUACAUAGACAAACAGAGUGUCACUAGUAGGCCUCUACUAGACUAGCUCAUUGAAUCAAUGAUGGUUAUGUUUCCUAACCAUAGACAUGAGUUGUCAUUUGAUUAACGGGAUCACAUCAUUAGAGAAUGAUGUGAUUGACUUGACCCAUCCGUUAGCUUAGCACGAUGAUCGUUUAGUUUGUUGCUAUUGCUUUAUCCAUAACUUAUACAUGUUCCUAUGACUAUGAAAUCAUGCAACUCCCGAAUACUGGAGGAACACUUAGUGUGAUAUCAAACAUCACAACGUAACUGGGUGACUAUAAAGAUGCUCUACAGGUGUCUCCCAUGGUGUUUGUUUAGUUGGCAUAUAUCAAGAUUAGGAUUUGUCACUCCGAGUAUCGGAGAGGUAUCUAUGGGCCCUCUCGGUAAUGCACAUCACUAUAAGCCUAGCAAGCAAUGUGACUAAUGAGUUAGUUACGGGCUGAUGCAUUAUGGAAUGAGUAAAGAGACUUGCCGGUAACGAGAUUGAACUAGGUAUUGAGAUACCGACGAUCGAAUCUCGGGCAAGUAACAUACUGAUGACAAAGGGAACUACGUACAUCGUUAUACGGUUUGACCGAUAAAGAUCUUCGUAGAAUAUGUGGGAGCCAAUAUGAACAUCCAGGUUCCGCUAUUGGUUAUUGACCAGAGACGUGUCUAGGUCAUGUCUACAUAGUUCUCGAACCCGUAGGGUCCACACGCUUAACAUUCGGUGACGAUCGGUAUUAUGAGUUUAUGUGUUUUGAUUUACCGAAGAUAGUUCGGAGUCCCGGAUAUGAUCACAGAAAUGAAGAGGAGUCUCGAAAUGGUCGAGACAUAAAGAUUGAUAUAUUGGAUGACUAUAGUUGGACACCGGAUGAGUUCCGGGGGUCACCAGAUAAUUAUUGGAGUGUCGGGGGGUUAUCGGAACCCCCGGGGGAACUAUUGGGCCACAUGGGCCUUCGUGGAGAGAGAGAGGGCCGGCCAAGGCAGGGCCACGCGCCCCUCCCCUCUAGUCUGAAUUGGACUAGGGAAGGGGGCGGCGCCCCCCUUUCAUUCUCUUCUCUCCCUCUCCUUCCUUCCCCCUUCCUCCUCUUAGUAGGACUAGGAAAGGGGAGUCCUAGUCCUACUAGGAGGAGGACUCCUCCUCUCCUAGUGCGCCCCAAGGGUCGGCCGACCUCCCCCUUGCUCCUUUAUAUACGGGGGCAGGGGGCACCCUAGAACACACAAGUUGAUCAUUGAUCCCUUAGCCGUGUGCGGUGCCCCCCUCCACCAUAACCCACCUCGGUCAUAUCGUCGUAGUGCUUAGGCGAAGCCCUGCGCCGGUAGCUUCAUCAUCACCGUCAUCACGCCAUCCUGCUGACGAAGCUCUCCCUCGACACUCAGCUGGAUCGAGAGUUUGUGGGACGUCACCGAGCCGAAUGUGUGCAGAUCGCGGAGGUGCUGUACUUUCGGUACUAGGAUCGGUCGGAUCGUGAAGACGUACGAAUACAUCAACCGCAUUGUCAUAAUGCUUCCGCUUACGGUCUAUGAGGGUACGUGGACAACACUCUUCCUCUCUCAUUGCUAUGCAUCACCAUUAUAGAUCUUGCAUGUGCGUAGGAAUUUUUUUGAAAUUACUGCAUUCCCCAAUGGUGGCAUCCGAGCCAGGUUUAUGCAUAGAUGUUCUAUGCACGAGUAGAACACAAAGGAGUUGUGGGCGUGGGUAUAUACAUAUUGUUUGCCGUCACUAGUUGAUUCUUGAUUCAGCGGUAUUGCUGGAUGAAGCGGCCCAGACCGACAUUACGCUUACGCUUACGCGAGACUGGUUCUACCGACGUGCUUCGCACACAGGUGGCUGGUGGGUGUCAGUUUCUCCAACUUUAGUUGAAUCGGGUUCAAUGAACAGGGUUCUUUCUGAAGAUCAAAAAUCAAUCACUAUACCGCGUUAUGGUUUUUGAUGCGUAGGUAAGAACGGUUCUUGCUCAGCCCGUAGCAGCCACGUAAAACUUGCAACAACAAAGUAGAGGACAUCUAACUUGUUUUUGCAGGGCAUGUUGUGAUGUGAUAUGGUCAAGACAUGAUGCUAAAUUUUAUUGUAUGAGAUGAUCAUAUUUUGUAACACAGUUAUCGGCAACUGGCAGGAGCCAUAUGGUUAUCGCUUUAUUGUAUGAAAUGCAAUUGCCAUGUAAUUGCUUUACUUUAUCACUAAGCGGGAGCAAUAGUCGUAGUAGCAAUAGUUGGCGAGACGACAAUGAUGCUUCGAUGGAGAUCAAGGUGUCAAGCCGAUGAUGAUGGUGAUCAUGACGGUGCUUUGGAGAUGGAGAUCAAAGGCACAAGAUGAUGAUGGCCAUAUCAUAUCACUUAUAUUGAUUGCAUGUGAUGUUUAUCAUUUAUGCAUCUUAUUUUGCUUAGUUUGGCGGUAGCAUUAUAAGAUGAUUGAUAACCCACAAGUAUAGGGGAUCGCAACAGCUUUCGAGGGUAGAGUAUUCAACCCAAAUUUAUUGAUUCGACACAAGGGGAGCCAAAGAAUAUUCUCAAGUAUUAGCAGCUGAGUUGUCAAUUCAACCACACCUGGAAACUUAGUAUCUGCAGCAAAGUGUUUAGUAGCAAAGUAAUAUGAUAGUGGUGGUAGUGGCAACAAAAGUAAGGACAACAAAAGUAAUGUUUUUGGUAUUUUGUAGUGAUUGUAACAGUAGCAGCGGAAAAGUAAAUAAGCGAGAACCAGUAUAUGGAAAACUCGUAGGCACCGGAUCAAUGAUGGAUAAUUAUGCCAGAUGCGGUUCAUCAUGUAACAGUCAUAACAUAGGGUGACAGAGAACUAGCUCCAAUUCAUCAAUGUAAUGUAGGCAUAUAUUCCGUAUAUAGUCAUACGUGCUUAUGGAAAAGAACUUGCAUGACAUCUUUUGUCCUACCCUCCCGUGGCAGCGGGGUCCUAUUGGAAACUAAGGGAUAUUAAGGCCUCCUUUUAAUAGAGAACCGGAACAAAGCAUUAGCACAUAGUGAAUACAUGAACUCCUCAAACUAUGGUCAUCACCGGGAGUGGUCCCGAUUAUUGUCACUUCGGGGUUGCCGGAUCAUAACACAUAGUGGGUGACUAUAGACUUGCAAGAUAGGAUCAAGAACUCACAAUAUAUUCAUGAGAACAUAAUAGGUUCAGAUCUGAAAUCAUGGCACUCGGGCCCUAGUGACAAGCAUUAAGCAUAGCAAAGUCAUAGCAACAUCAAUCUCAGAACAUAAUGGAUACUAGGGAUCAAACCCUAACAAAACUAACUCGAUUGCAUGAUAAAUCUCAUCCAACCCAUCACCGUCCAGCAAGCCUACGAUGGAAUUACUCAAGCACGGCGGUGAGCAUCAUGAAAUUUGUGAUGGAAGAUGGUUGAUGAUGAUGACGACGACGAAUCCCCCUCUCUGGAGCCCCGAACGGACUCCAGAUCAGCCCUCCCGAGAGGUUUUAGGGCUUGGCGGCGGCUCCGUAUCGUAAAAUGCGAUGAUUUCUUCUCUCUGAUUUUUUUCUCUCCGAAAGCAAAUAUAUAGAGUUGGAGUUGGUGUCGGAGGGCAUCCAGGGGGCCCACGAGGUAGGGGGGCGCGCCCUAGGGGGGGGGGGCGCCCCCCACCCUCGUGAGAAGGGUGUGGGCCCCUGGUCUUCAUCUUUGGCGAGGAUUUUUUAUUGUUUUUUAUAAGAUGUUUCGUGGAGUUUCAGGUCAUUCCGAGAAUAUUUGUUUUAUGCACAUAAAACAACACCAUGGCAAUUCUGCUGAAAACAGCGUCAGUCCGGGUUAGUUCCAUUCAAAUCAUACAAGUUAGAGUCCAAAACAAGGGCAAAAGUGUUUGGAAAAGUAGAUACGACGGAGACGUAUCAAUGAUCUCUCACUAAAUUUCAAGGUAUAAGUGUUCUCCUUGAGUAUGCACCGUUGCUACAGUUCGUCAUGCCGAGACACCACGUGAUGAUCGGGUGUGAUAAGCUCUAUGUUCACAUACAAUGGGUGCAAGCCAGUUUUGCACGUGCGGAAUACUCGGGUUAAACUUGACGAGCCUAGCAUAUGAAGAUAUGGCCUCGGAACACUAAGACCGAAAGGUCGAGCGUGAAUCAUAUAGUAGAUAUGAUCAACAUAUUGAUGUUCACCAUUGAAAACUACUCCAUCUCACGUGAUGAUUGGACAUGGUUUAGUUGAUAUGGAUCACAUGAUCACUUAGAUGAAUAGAGGGAUGUCUAUCUAAGUGGGAGUUCUUAAGUAAUUUGAUUAAUUGAACUUUAAUUUAUCAUGAACUUAGUACCUGAUAGUAUUUUGCAUGUCUAUGUUGUUGUAGAUAGAUGGCCCGUGCUAUUGUUCCAUUGAAUUUUAAUGCGUUCCUAGAGAAAGCUAAGUUGAAAGAUGAUGGUAGCAACUACACAGACUGGGUCCGUAACUUGAGGAUUAUCCUCAUUGCUGCACAGAAGAAUUACGUCCUGGAAGCACCGCUAGGUGACAAACCCGCUGCAGGAGCAACAUCAGAUGUUGUGAACACAUGGCAGAGCAAAGCUGAUGACUACUCAAUAGUUUAGUGUGCCAUGCUUUACGGCUUAGAACCGGGACUUCAACGACAUUUUGAACAUCAUGGAGCAUAUGAGAUGUUCCAGGAGUUGAAGUUAAUAUUUCAAGCAAAUGCUCGGAUUGAGAGGUAUGAAGUCUCCAAUAAGUUCUACAACUGCAAAAUGGAGGAGAAUAGUUCUGUCAGUGAACAUAUACUCAGAAUGUCUGGGUACCACAAUCACUUGACUCAGUUGGGAGUUAAUCUUCCUGAUGAUAGUGUCAUUGACAGAGUUCUUCAAUCACCGCCACCAAGCUACAAGAGCUUCGUGAUGAACUAUAAUAUGUAAGGGGUGGAUAAGACGAUUCCCGAACUCUUCGCAAUGCUAAAGGCUGCGGAGGUAGAAAUCAAGAAGGAGCAUCAAGUGUUGAUGGUCAACAAGACCACCAGUUUCAAGAAAAAGAGUAAAGGGAAGAAGGGGAACUUCAAGAAGAACAGCUAGCCAGUUGCUGCUCAAGUGAAGAAACCCAAAUCUGGACCUAAGCCUGAGACUGAGUGCUUCUACUGCAAAGGGACUGGUCACUGGAAGCGGAACUGCCCCAAGUAUUUGGCGGAGAAGAAGGAUGGCAAAAUGAAAGGUAUAUUUGAUAUACAUGUUACUGAUGUGUACCUUACUAAUGCUCGUAGUAGUGCCUGGGUAUUUGAUACUGGUUCAGUUGCUAACAUUUGCAACUCGAAACAGGGGCUACGAAUUAAGCGAAGAUUGGCUAAGGACGAGGUGACGAUGCGCGUGGGAAAUGGUUCCAAAGUCGAUGUGAUCACCGUCGGCACACUACCUCUACAUCUACGUUUGGGAUUAGUUUUAGACCUAAAUAAUUGUUAUUUGGUGCCAGCAUUGAGCAUGGACAUUAUAUCUGGAUCUUGUUUGAUGCGAUACGAUUAUUCAUUUAAAUCAGAGAAUAAUGGUUGUUCUAUUUAUAUGAGUAAUAUCUUUUAUGGUCAUGCACCCUUGAUGAGUGGUCUAUUUUUACUAAAUCUUGAUAGUAGUGAUACACAUAUUCAUAGUAUUGAAGCCAAAAGAUGCAAAGUUGAUAAUGAUAGUGCAACUUAUUUGUGGCACUGUCGUUUGGGUCAUAUUGGUGUAAAGCGCAUGAAGAAACUCCAUUCCGAUGGACUUCUGGAAUCACUUGAUUAUGAAUCACUUGGUACUUGCAAACCAUGCCUCAUGGGCAAGAUGACUAAAACUCCGUUCUCCGGAACAAUGGAGCGAGCAACAGAGUUAUUGGAAAUCAUACAUACUGAUGUAUGUGGUCCAAUGAACAUUGAGGCUUGCGACGAGUAUCGUUAUUUUCUCACCUUCACAGAUGAUUUGAGAAGAUAUGGGUAUAUCUACUUGAUGAAACAUAAGUCUGAAACAUUUGAAAAGUUCAAAGAAUUUCCGAGUGAAGUGGAAAAUCAUCGUAACAAGAAAAUAAAGUUUCUACGAUCUGAUCAUGGAGGAGAAUAUUUGAGUGACGAGUUUGGUCUUCAUUUGAAACAAUGCGGAAUAGUUUCGCAACUCACGCCACCCGGAACACCACAGCGUAAUGGUGUGUCCGAACAUCAUAAUUGUACUUUACUAGAUAUGGUGCGAUCUAUGAUGUCUCUCAUGAAUUUACCGCUAUCAUUUUGGGGUUAUGCUUUAGAGACAGAUGCAUUCACGUUAAAUAGGGCACCAUCUAAAUCCGUUGAGAGGACACCUUAUGAACUGUGGUUUGGCAAGAAACCCAAAUUGUCGUUUCUUAAAGUUUGGGGCUGCGAUGCUUAUGUGAAAAAGCUUCAAUCUGAUAAGCUCGAACCCAAAUCGGAGAAAUGUGUCUUCAUAUGAUACCCAAAGGAGACUGUUGGGUAUACCUUCUAUCACAGAUCCAAAGGCAAGAUAUUCGUUGCUAAGAAUGGAUCCUUUCUAGAGAAUGAGUUUCUCUCGAAAGAAGUGAGUGGGAGGAAAGUAGAACUUGAUGAGGUAAUUGUACCUGCUCCCUUAUUGGAAAGUAGUUCAUCACUGAAAUCGGUUCCAGUGAUUCCUACACCAGUAAGUGAGGAAGCCAAUGAUGAUGAUCAUGAACUUCUGAUCAAGUUAAUACCGAACCUCGUAGGUCAACCAAAGUAAGAUCCGACCAGAGUGGUAUGGUAAUCCUGUUCUGGAGGUCAUGUUACUUGACCAUGACGAACCUACGAACUAUGAGGAAGCGACGAUGAGUCCAGAUUCCACAAAAUGUCUUGAGGCCAUGAAAUCUAAGAUGGGAUCCAUGUAUGAGAACAAAGUGUGGACUUUGGUUGACUUGCCCGAUGAUCGGCAGGCCAUAGAGAAUAAAUGGAUCUUCAAGAAGAAGACUGACGCCGACGGUAAUGUUACUGUCUACAAAGUUCGACUUGUUGCAAAAGGUUUUUGACAAGUUCAAUGAGUUGACUAUGAUGAGACCUUCUCACCUGUAGCGAUGCUUAAGUCCGUCCGAAUCAAUUUAGCAAUUGUUGCAUUUUAUGAUUAUGAAAUUUGGCAAAUGGAUGUGAAAACCGCAUUUCUUAAUGGAUAUCUUAGAGAAGAGUUGUAUAUGAUGCAACCAGAAGGUUUUGUCAAUCCAAAAGGUGCUAACAAAGUGUGCAAGCUCCAGUGAUCCAUUCAUGGACUGGUGCAAGCCUCUCGGAGUUGGAAUAUACGCUUUGAUAGUGUGAUCAAAGCAUAUGGUUUUAUACAGACUUUUGGAGAAGCCUGUAUUUACAAGAAAGUGAGUGAGAGCUCUGUAGCAUUUCUGAUAUUAUAUGUAGAUGACAUAUUAUUGAUCGGAAAUGAUACUGAAUUUCUGAAUAGCAUAAAAGGAUACUUGAAUAAGAAUUUUUCAAUGAAAGACCUCGGUGAAGCUGCUUAUAUAUUGGGCAUCAAGAUCUAUAGAGAGAGAUCAAGACGCUUAAUUGGACUUUCACAAAGCACAUACCUUGAUAAAGUUUUGAAGAAGUUCAAAAUGGAGUAGGCAAAGAAAGGGUUCUUGCCUGUGUUACAAGGUGUGAAGUUGAGUCAGACUCAAUACUCGACCACUAUAGAAGAUAGAGAGAAAAUGAAAGUCAUUCCCUAUGCUUCAGCCAUAGGUUCUAUCAUGUAUGCAAUGUUGUGUACCCGACCUGAUGUGUGCCUUGCUAUUAGUUCAGCAGGGAGGUACCAAAGUAAUCUAGGAGUGGAUUACUGGACAAUGGUCAAGAACAUCCUGAAAUACCUAAAAAGGACUAAGGAUAUGUUUCUCGUUUAUGGAGGUGACAAAGAGCUCGUCGUAAACGGUUACGUCGAUGCAAGCUUUAACACUGAUCCGGAUGACUCUAAGUCACAAACCGGAUACAUAUUUUUAUUAAAUGGUGGAGCUGUCAAUUGGUGCAGUUCGAAGCUGAGCGUCAUGGCGGGGUCUACAUGUGAAGCUGAGUACAUAGCUGCUUCAGAAACAGCAAAUGAAGGAGUUUGGAUGAAGGAGUUCAUAUCCGAUCUAGGUGUCAUACCUAGUGCAUCUGGUCCAAUGAAAAUCUUUAGUGACAACACUGGUGCAAUUGCCUUGGGAAAGGAAUCUAGAUUUCACAAGAGAACCAAGCACAUCAAUAGACGCUUCAAUUCCAUCCGCGAUCAAGUCAAGGAGGGAGACAUAGAGAUUUGCAAGAUACAUACGGAUCUGAAUGUUGCAGACCCAUUGACUAAGCCUCUCUCACGAGCAAAACAUGAUCAGCACCAAGACUCCAUGGGUGUUAGAAUCAUUACAAUGUAAUCUAGAUUAUUGACUCUAGUGCAAGUGGGAGACUGAAGGAAAUAUGACCUAGAGGCAAUAAUGAAGUUGUUAUUUAUAUUUCCUUAUAUCAUGAUGAAUGCUUAUUAUUCAUGCUAGAAUUGUAUUAACCGGAAACUUAAUGCAUGUGUGAAUACAUAGACAAACAGAGUGUCACUAGUAUGCCUCUACUAGACUAGCUCGUUGAAUCAAUGAUGGUUAUGUUUCCUAACCAUAGACAUGAGUUGUCAUUUGAUUAACGGGAUCACAUCAUUAGAGAAUGAUGUGAUUGACUUAACCCAUUCGUUAGCUUAGCACGAUGAUCGUUUAGUUUGUUGCUAUUGCUUUCUCCAUAACUUAUACAUGUUCCUAUGACUAUGAGAUCAUGCAACUCCCGAAUACCGGAAGAACACUUAGUGUGCUAUCAAACGUCACAACGUAACUGGGUGACUAUAAAGAUGCUCUACAGGUGUCUCCGAUGGUGUUUGUUGAGUUGGCAUAUGUCGAGAUUAGGAUUUGUCACUUCGAGUAUCGGAGAGGUAUCUCUGGGCCCUCUCGGUAAUGCACAUCACUAUAAGCCUUGUAAGCAAUGUGACUAUUGAGUUACUUACGGGAUGAUGCAUUACGGAAAAAGUAAAGAGACUUGUCGGUAACGAGAUUGAACUAGGUAUUGAGAUACCAAUGAUCGAAUCUCGGGUAAGUAACAUACCGAUGACAAAGGGAACAAUGUAUAUCGUUAUACGGUUUGACCGAUAAAGAUCUUCGUAGAAUAUGUGGGAGCCAAUAUGAACAUCCAGGUUCCACUAUUGGUUAUUGACCAGAGACGUGUCUAGGUCAUGUCUACAUAGUUCUCGAACCCGUAGGGUCCGCACAGUUAACAUUCGGUGACGAUCGGUAUUAUGAGUUUAUGUGUUUUGAUGCACCGAAGAUAGUUCGGAGUCUCAGAUAUGAUCACGGACAUGACGAAGAGUCUCGAAAUGGUUGACACAUAAAGAUUGAUAUAUUGGAUGACUAUAUUCGGACACCAUAUGAGUUCCGGAGGUCACCGGAUAAUUAUCGGGGUGCCGGGGGGUUAUCGGAACCCCCGGGGAACUAUUGGGCCACAUGGGCCUUAGUGGAGAGAGAGGGCCGGCUAAGGCAGGGCCGCACGCCCCCUCCCCUCUAGUCUGAAUUGGACAAGGGAAGGGGGGGCCUUUCCUUCUCUUCUCCCCCUCUCCUUCCUUUCCCCUUCCUCCUCCUAGUAGGACUAGGAAAGGGGAGUCCUACUCCUACUAGGAGGAUGACUCCUCUCCUGGCGCGCCCCCAAGGGCCGGCUGACCUCCCCCCUUGCUCCUUUAUAUAUGGGGGCAGGGGGCACCCUAGAACACACAAGUUGAUCAUUGAUCCCUUAGCCGUGUGCGGUGCCCCCUCCACCAUAAACCACCUCGGUCAUAUCGUCGUAGUGCUUAGGAGAAGCCCUGCACCGGAAGCUUCAUCAUCACCGUCAUCACGCCGUCGUGCUGACGAAGCUCUCCCUCGACACUCAGCUGGAUCGAGAGUUUGUGGGACGUCACCGAGCCAAACGUGUGCAGAUCGCGGAGGUGCCGUACUUUUGGUACUAGGAUCUGUCGGAUCGUGAAGAGGUACGACUACAUCAACCGCGUUGUCAUAACGCUUCCGCUUACGGUCUUUGAAGGUACGUGGACAACACUCUUACCCUCUCGUUGCUAUGCAUCACCAUGAUAGAUCUUGCGUGUGCAUAGGAUUUUUUUUGAAAUUACUGUGUUCCCCAACACCUUGCUGCCUCCAUGAUGAUGUGUGAGUAGUUCCUUUAGGACCUACGGGUCCAUAGUAGUAGCUAAUUGGUUCUUUCUCUCUCUCUCUCUCUCUCUCUCUCUCUCUCUUGAUCUUCAAUACCAUGAUUUUCUCUAAGAUCCAUCUGACGUAGUCUUUUGCGGUGUGUCUGUUGGGAUCCAAUGAAUUGUGGGUUUAUAAUCAUAUUAUUCAUUGAAUUUAUAUGAAUCCCUUGAAGUUUCUUUGCUACAUAAUUUUAUAGUGUUGAAUUUCUCUCCAAUCUAUCCAUCUACUUUGGCCAAAUUUGAUUGAUUUAUCUUCAGCAGGAGAGGUGCUUUGUAGUAGGUUCAAUCUUGCAGUGAUAUCGCAUAGUGACAAAAAGGGCAAAGGCAUGUAUUGUAUUGUUACUACUAAGGAUAAAAUGAUGGGGUUUGGUCAUAUUGAUUGAUCUUAUUUUGUCUACAUUAUGUUAUCUUGCUUAAAGCGUUACUCUGUUUGUCAUGAACUUGACACUUUGAGAUGCAUGUUGGAUAGCGGUCUUGGGGUGGGUUAAUAGUAGUAGAUGCAGCUGGAUUACCGGUCUAUUUGUAACGGACAUAAUGCCUAUGUAUUAAUUAUGCCAUGAAUGAUCAUAAUUAUAACUAUGCUAAACUCUAUCAAUUGCCCAUAGUAAUUUGUCUACCACACAGUUACUCUGCUUUCGAGAGAGAUGCCACUAGUGAACCCAUCGCCCCGGGGUUUAUUUUCCAUUAAUACAAAAGUCUCCACAAUUGCUCUUUUAUUCUUUCUUUUAGUUUCUAUCGCUUUGCAUAUCAAUAUCUGCUUUUAACCUUGUGGCUAGCAAGAACAAAGGGGAGUGACGACCCCCUUUCCUUUGUUGGGUGCAAGCAAUUGUUUUGUUUAUGUGUAGGUGUUGUUAAAGUUGUUCGCGUUGUGCCUCAUAUUGGUUCGCUAAACCUUGGUUCUGAGCUAAGGGCAAUACUAUUUGCUACUAUACUGCUUCACCCUUCCUCUUCGGUGAAACCCAACGACUCCGUCAUGAGUAGUAAUGUUGGGCGAUAAUUUCAUUGUUUCCCACACAACGUGCAUUAUGUGCGCGCGUGAGUCAAGGGAUUUUGUUAAUGAUGCCACCAAAAAUCCGAAACACGAUCCCUUUAUUGAUGGGAUGUGCCAAUGGCAACGGCCUUGGGCCACGAGAAACUCGGUGUGAUGGCCAUUGAUGGGACCUUACAGUUCUACAAUACGUGGUGGCGGUUCAUUUUCCAGUCAAAAGUUGUCAGAACACGACCUCAUCGACCCACUACGCUAGCACUGCAGAACUUUGCCAUUAAGCUAUCGAGGCGUGGAUAGUGUCUUUGGAUGUACUAAAAAUAAAAGCACUCCUCAAAGAGCUUAGUUGAUGUUCCUCAGAUUUCUGAGGUAUAUCAUUGAUACGUCUCCAACGUAUCUAUAAUUUUUUAUUGUUACAUGUUAUUAUAUUAUCAAUCUUGGAUGUUUUAUAUGCAUUUAUAUGCUAUUUUAUAUCAUUUUUUGGGACUAGCCUAUUAACCUAGUGCCCAACGCUAGUUGUUAUUUUUUGCUAUUUUUAGCUUUUCAAAAAAUCAACAUCUAACAAAGUCCAAACGGAAAAUAAAUAUUUGGAUUAAUUUUUUCUGGACCAGAAGGGACCCAAGAAGCUUUGGGAGGAGACCACGCGAGAUAGGCGAGAGCCACAAGCUCGAGGGACGCGCCCUUGGGGGGUAGGCACGCCCCCUAAGCUUGUGAACCCCACGCAGAUCCAUUUGACCUAAUUCCACUUCUAUAAAUUCAGAAAUAUUCCCAAACCAACAGAGAGCCACCUGAAACACUUUUUCGCCGCCGCAAGCUUCUAUUCUUCUGUGAUUCCAUCCGGAGGCCUUUUCCGGUACUCUGCCAAAAGGGGAAUUGAUCAUGGAGGGCUUCUGCAUCAUCCUUGCUGCCUUCCAGUGAUGCGUGAGUAGUUCACCACAGACCUAUGGUUCCAUAUCUAGUAGCUAGAUGGCUUCUUCUUCUCUCUCUCUCUCUCUUUGAUCUUCAAUACAAUGUUCUCCUCGAUAUUCUUGGAGUUUUAUCCGAUGUAAUCUUCUUUUGUGGUGUGUUUGUUGGGAUCCGAUGGCUUGUGGGUUUAUGAUCUGAAUAUUCAUGAGAGGUAAUUGAGUCUUUUCUGAACUUUAUUAUGCAUGAUUGUUAUAGCUUUGUAUUUUUCUUUGAUCUAUCCGCUUGGUUUGGCCUACUAGAUUGAUUUAUCUUCAGUGGGAGAGGUGCUUUGUGAUGGGUUCAAUCUUGCGGUGCUCUAUAUCCUAGUGACAGAAGGGGACAAGACACAUAUUGUAUUGUUGUCAUUAAGGGUAAAACGAUGGGGUUUAUUCAUAUUGAUUGGGUUUACUUUGUGUACAUCAUGUCAUCUUGCUUAAGGCGUUACUCUGUUUUUCAUGAGCUUAAUACCAUACAUGCAUGCUGGGUAGUGGUCGAUUGGUGGACUAAUAGUUGUAGAUUGAUACAUCUCCAAUGUAUCUAUAAUUUAUGAAGUAUUCAUGCCAUGUUUACAACAAUUUUAUAUGGUUUUGGUAUGAUUUGAUUAGAACUAACCCGGACCGACGCUGUUUUCAGCACAACUACCAUGGUGUUAUUUUUUGUGCAAAAAAUAAAAGUUCUCGAAAUGGGUUGAAAAAUUACAGAUUUUUUGUGGACCAAAAGAGACCCUGAUAACCCACAAGUACAGGGGAUCACAACAGAUUUCGAGGGUAGAGUAUUUAACCCAAAUUUAUUGAUUGGACACAAGGGGGGCCAAAGAAUAUUUGCAAGUAUUAGCAGUUGAGUUGUCAAGUCAACCACACCUAGAGAACUAAAUAUCUGCAGUAGAGUGAUCAUUAGCACAAUAAUAUGAUAGUUUGAUAGAAGUGGUAACAACAAUAGUAAUGGUAAUAGAAGUACCAGUAGUUUUGUAGCAAUUGUGACAGCAAUAGCAAUAGUUGUAACUUAGCAAAGAUCAAUAUGUGAAAAGCUCGUAGGCAUUGGAUUGGUGAUGGAUAAUUAUGUUGGAUAACAUUCAUCAUGUAACAGUUAUAACUUAGGGCAAAACAAAACUAGCUCCAAUUCAUCAAUGUAAUGUAGUCAUGCAUUACGUAUAUAGUCAUACAUGCUUGCGAUAAGAACUUGCAUGCCAUCUUUUGUCCUACUCUCCCGUGGCAGCAGGGUCCAUAAGGAAACUAAGGGAUGUUAAGGCCUCCUCUUAAUAGAUAAUUAGAACAAAGCAUUACCACAUAGUGAAUACAUGAACUCUUCAAACUACGGUAAUCACCGGAAAGAAUCACAAUUAUUGUCACCUUGGGGAAUGAGGAUCAUAACACAUAAUAGGUGUGUAUAACUUGCAACAUAGGAUCAAGAACACAAAUAUAUUCAUGAAAACAUAAAGGGUAAUGAUCUGAAAUCAUGGCACUCGGGCCCUAGUGACAAGCAUUAAGCGUAGCAGAGUCAUAGCAACAUCAAUCUCAUAACAUAGCGGAUGCUAGGAAUCAAGCCCUAACAAAACUAACUCGAUUGCAUCAUAAAUAUCAUCCAAACCAUCACCAUCCAGCAAGCCUACGAAGGAAUUACUCACUGCCAAUGGUGAGCAUCAUGAAAUUGGUGAUGGAGGAAGGUUCAUGAUGAUGACGACGUCAAAUCCCCCCUCCGGAGCCCAAAAUGGACUGCAGAUCAGCCCUCCCGAUGAAGAAUAGGAGGUGGCGGCGGAUCCAUAUCAUAAUGAAGGAAAUAUGUCCUAGAGGCAAUAAUAAAGUUGUUAUUUUAUAUUUCCUUAUUCAUGAUAAAGUUUUAUUAUUCAUGCUAGAAUUGUAUUGAUCGGAAACCUUAAUACAUGUGUGAAUACAUAGACAAACAUUGUGUCCCUAGUGAGCCUCUACUAGACUAGCUCGUUGAUCAAAGAUGGUUAAGGUUUCCUAACCAUAGACAUGAGUUGUCAUUUGAUAACGGGAUCACGUCAUUAGGAGAAUGAUGUGAUGGACAAGAACCAUUUGUUAGCUUAACAUUAUGACCGUUCAGUUUUAUUGCCAUUGCUUUCUUCAUGUCAAAUACAUAUUCCUUCGUCUAUGAGAUUAUGCAACUCCUGGAUACCGAAGGAAUGCCUUGUGUGAUAUCAAACGUCACAACGUAACUGGGUGAUUAUAAAGAUACUCAAUAGGUAUGUCCGAAGGUGUUUGUUGAGUUGGCAUAGAUUAAGAUUAGGAUUUGUCACUCCGGGUAUCGGAGAGGUAUCUCUGGGCCCUCUUGAUAAUACACGUCAUAAGCUUGCAAGCAAACGACUAAGGAGUUAGUCACAAGGUGAUGUAUUGUAGAAGGAGUAAAGAGACUUGUCGGUAACGAGAUUGAACUAGGUAUAAAGAUACCGACGAUCGAAUCUCGGGCAAGUAACAUACCGAUUGACAAAGGGAAUUAUGUAUGUUGUCAUAACGGUUCGACCAAUAAAGAUCUUUGUAGAAUAUGUAGGAGCCAUUAUGGGCAUACAGGUUCCGCUAUUGGUUAUUAACUGGAGAGGUGUCUCGGUCAUGUCUACAUAGUUCUUGAACCCGUAGGGUCCGCAUGUUUAACAUUCGAUGACGAUAUAAUAUUAUAUGAGUUAUGUGAUUUGGUGACCUAAUGUUGUUCGGAGUCCCGGAUGAGAUCACAGACAUGAUGAGAAGUCUCAAAAUGGUCAAUAGGUAAAGAUUGAUAUAUAGGACGAUGGUAUUCGGACACUUGGAAGUGUUUCGCAGGUUACUGGGUACUUAUCGGGUCACGGGAAGGGGUUUUAGGCACCGCCGGCAAAAGAUAUCGGCCUUAUGGGCCAAGAGGGGAAAUGCACCAGCCACAAGGGGCUAGUGCGCCCCCAUAUGGUCCGAACCAGGAGGAGAAGGAAAGAGGGGAAGGGAAAGGAAGGGGGGGUUGGCCUCCCCCUUCCUUCCCUCCUCCCUCCUCUUUCCUUCCCCCUCCGGCAAAUAUGGCAGGGGGCGCAGGGAGACCCCAAGUAGGAUUCGGCCUACUUGGGCGACUCAUGGCAGCCUCCCCUCUCCCUCCCACCUAUAUAUAUAUGUGUGUGUGGGGGGGGGGCGCCCUAACACACACCGGAAAAUUGUUUAGCCGUGUGCGUCCCCCCCCCCCCGCACCCUUUACUCCCCCGGUCAUAUUUUCGUAGUGCUUACGCGAAGCCCUACGAGGAUCACUUCACCAUCACCGUCACCACCCCGUCAUGUUGACGGAACUCAUUUACUACCUCGACGUCUUGCUGGAUCAAGAAGGCGAGGGACGUCACCGAGUUGAACGUGUGCAGAACGUGGAGGUGCCAUGCGUUCGGUACUUGAUCGAUUCAAGCGCGAAGAAGUUCGACUACAUCAACCGUGUUGAGAAACGCUUCCGCUUACGGUCUACGAGGGUACGUAGACACACUCUCCCCUCAUUGCUAUGCAUCUCCAUGGAUAGAUCAUUGCGUGUGCGUACAAUUUUUUUGUUUUCCAUGCAACGUUUCCCAAGAGUGGCAUCAUGAGCCAGGUCUACGCGUAGAUGAUAUGCACGACUAGAACACAAAGAGUUGUGGGUGGUGAUAGUCAUACUGCUUACCACCAAUGUCUUAUUUUGAUUUGGCGGUAUUGUGGAAUGAAGUAGCCCGGACCAACCUUACAUGUCCACGCACAUGAGACCAGUUCCACCGACUAACAUGCAACUAGUUUUGCAUAAAGGUGGCUGGCGGGUCUCUGUUUCUCCUACUUUAGUUGAAUCGAAUUUGACUAUGGCCGGUCCUUGAAGAAGGUGAAAACAGCAAACUUGACGAAGCACCAUUGUGGUUUUAUGCGUAGGUAAUAACGGUUCUUGCUAGAAGCCUGUAGCAGCCACGUAAAAACUUGCAAUAACAAAGUAGAGGACGUCUAACUUGUUUUUGCAGGGCAUGUUGUGAUGUGAUAUGGUCAAGACAUGAUGUGAUAAACGUUAUUGUAUGAUAUGAUCAUGUUUUGUAAGAUAUCUGACAACCGACAAGAGCCUAAUGGUUGUCUCUUUAUUGUAUGAAAUGCAAACACCAUGUAAUUGCUUUACUUUAUCACCAUGCGUUAGCAAUAGUUGUAGAAGCAAUAGUUGGCGAGACGACCACGACACUGCGAUGGAGAUCAAGGUGUUGAGCCGGUGACGAUGGUUUGGAGAUGGAGAUCAAAAGCACAAGAUGAUGAUGGCCAUAUCACGUCACAUAUUUUGAUUGCUUGUGAUGUUUAUCCUUUAUGCAACUUAUUUUGCUUAGUACGACGGUAGCAUUAUAAGAUGAUCCCUUCACCGAAUUUCAAGGUAAACAUGUUCUCCCUAAGUAUGCACCGUUGUUACAGUUCGUCGUUUCGAGACGCCAGGUGAUUAUCGGGUGUGAUAGAAUCUACAUUCACAUACAACGGGUGCAAGAUAGUUUUGCACAUGCAGAAUACUUGAGUUAAACUUGACGAGCCUAGCAUGUAUAGACAUGACCUCAGAACACUAGAGACCAAAAGGUCGAAUGUGAAUCAUAUAGUAGAUAUGAUCAACAUAGAGAUGUUCACCAUUGAUGACUACCACAUCUCACGUGAUGAUCGGACAUGCACUACAAAAAAAUACACCUCCAUGAUGAUACGUGUUUGUCACAGUAGGUCAUGUUUUCUGUCAUGCAUGUACAUCCAUGACAAAUUUAUGACAGAAUCAAGAUAGUCAUACCCAUGCUAUCGUAGAAGUGUUCCAUGACAUUAGCAAAAUUAUCAUCACGGAAGUGUCCACUUCCAUGACGAUAAAUCGCGCGUCACAGAAGUGUUUUCAUCAAGUGUGACCGACAUGUGGCAUCCAACGUAAUGGAACGCCGUUAAGCUAUCGGGUCUGGUUUUGGAUCCGAUAACCCGUUAAUAGCCCCGACCAAUGGGGAUUUUCCACGUGUAAAAUCAUCAUUGGCUGGACGAAACACGUGUCGGCUCACCGUUGGGACAGAUGUCAUCCACUCAUUGGACCCAAAGCGCCUAUGAUACGUCGACACAUGGCACGGCCCAACAGAGGCCCAUUCCUAUGAAAAGGCCGGCCCGUUUGACUUGGUCAAAAGGUGGUGGGCCAGCCCAUGGCAAGCCUGUUAACGGCCUGUUCACAUAUAGCCCAUUUACAGCCCGCUAACCCAGGGCCCGUUUACGGCCUAUCCGAAUUAGGCCCCGUAGCAUCAUCUGGGCCGUCCAAUAUAAUUCCAGCCUGUUUUAACUUCCGGCCCAUGUUUGGCCCAUGACGUCUUUCGGCCCAUAUGAGGCCCUUAUUACUCUCGGCCCAUUAACGGCCCGUGGUAAAACUGGCCCGUAAUGAACAAUGUAUCACUUUAUACCCAUUAACGGCAUGUGGUGAAACUGACCCGUAAUGAACAGUGUAUCACUUUAUGCCCAUUAACGACGCAUUAUUCUGUUGGGUCGUUUCCAGCCCAUGUUAUCUUUCGGCCUUCUCGGGGCCCAUUUAUUCUUGGGCUCAUUUCCACAUUUGUUUACUUACGGCCCGUUACUGUCAUUUUCUGCUUGUGGUCCAAAUUCAGCCCGUGGUUACAGUCAGCCCGUUUGUGGCCCGUUAAUACGUUGGGCUGUUUUCAUAGCGUCAUCAAAAUAUGGCCCGUUAUGGUCGGCCCAUGAGCGAUUUCAACUCUAGCCCAUUUACGGCCAUAAUGUUAUCUGUUAUUGGCCCAUGUUUGGCCAACUGAUCAUACGACCCGUAGAAGGCCCAUUGAUGAUACGGCCCAUUGUGUUUAUGGCCCGUAUAAGGCCCAUUGUUUCUACACCACGUAGAAGCCCCAUUGUUUCUAUGGCCCUUAGAAGGCCCAUUGUUUCUAUGGCCCGUAGGAGGCCCAUGUUAACUACAGCCGGUGGGCAUCAAAGUUCGCCACCAGUGCAAAUAUAGGGAACACCCUACACUAUACAAAAAUGGCUUGCUAUUUUCUUCAGCCGGUGGCUGCACGUUAAGAACAAAUUUUGUAUCGCACCAAAACAAACUACAACUAUAAAACAAAAGGAAGGUUGGCAUAAAAGUUAACAGUCUAGCAGAUAAAUGCACCACCAGAAGUUCAGAAGCUCAGUUCAUUUGACCCGACUAUUACGUUUUCAUGUUGUAUUGUCUGAUGGAGCACCAUAACCUUCGCCUUCAGUUCUCCUAGGCUCCUGAACAACAUAGCAAAUGUCUGAUAGUUUGGUUUCAAAACCAUGCAUAUCUUGACAACAUCGAACAAUGUCUCUCCUUGUUUCACAGAGGGUCUCUGUUAGGGAAUGGACUUGUGUCUGGAGCGCAGAUACAACAUUGUUUUGAGCUUGCAUAUCUUGAUCAUGAGGAAGUUUGGACGAGAUUGCCUUAAUGAUAACCCACAAGUAUAGGGGACCGCAACAGUUUUCGAGGGUAAAGUAUCCAACCCAAAUUUAUUGAUUCGACACAAGGGGAGCCAAAGAAUACUCUCAAGUAUUAGCAGCUGAGUUGUCAAUUCAACCACACCUGGAAACUUAAUAUCUGUAGCAAAGUAUUUAGUAGCCAAGUAAUAUGAUAGUAGUGGUAACGGUAGCAAAAGGUAACAGUAGUAAAAGUAAUGUUUUGGUAUUUUGUAGUGAUGAUAGCAAUAGCAAUGGGAAAGUAAAUAAGCAAAGAACAAUAUAUGGAAAGCUCAUAGGCAAUGGAUCGGUGAUGGAGAAUUAUGCCGGAUGCGGUUCAUCAUGUAACAGUCAUAACCUAGGGUGACAUAGAACUAGCUCCAGUUCAUUGAUAUAAUGUAGGCAUGUAUUCCGAAUAUAGUCAUCGUGCUUAUGGAAAAGAACUUGCAUGACAUCUUUUGUCCUACCCUCCCGUGGCAGCGGGGUCCUUACGGAAACUAAGGGAUAUUAAGGCCUCCUUUUAAUAGAGUACCGGAACAAAGCAUUAACACAUAGUGAAUACAUGAACUCCUCACUACGGUCAUCACUGGUAAGUAUCCCGAUUAUUGUCACUUCGGGGUUAACGGAUCAUAACACAUAAUAGGUGACUAUAGACUUGCAAGAUAGGAUCAAGAACACUCAUAUAUUGAUGAAAACAUAAUAGGUUCAGAUCUGAAAUCAUGGCACUCGGGCCCUAGUGACAAGCAUUAAGCAUAGCAAAGUCAUAGCAACAUCAAUCUCAGAACAUAGUGGAUACUAGGGAACAAAUCCUAACAAAACUAACUCGAUUACAUGAUAGAUCCCAUCCAACCCAUCACCGUCCAGCAAGCCUACGAUGGAAUUACUCACGCACGGCGGUGAGCAUCAUGAAAUUGGUGAUGGAGGAUGGUUGAUGAUGAUGAUGGCGACGGAUUCCCCUUUCCGGAGCCCCGAACGGACUCCAGAUCAGCCCUCCCGAGAGGUUUUAGGGCUUAGCGGCGGAUCCAUAUCAUAAAACGUAAUGAAUUCUUCUCUUUGAUUUUUUUCUCCCCGAAACACAAUAUAUAGAGUUGGAGUUGGAGUCAGAGAGGCACCAGGGGGCCCACGAGGUAGGGGGGCGCGCCCCCCACCCUCAUGGAGAGGUGGUGCCCCCCUGGCCUUCAUCUUUUGUAGAUAUUUUUUAUAUUUUCCAAAAAGUUGCUCUGUGAAGUUUCAGGUCAUUCCGAGAACGUUUGUUUCUGCACAUAAAUAACACCAUGGUAAUUCUGCUGAAAACAGCGCCAGUCCGGGUUAGUUCCAUUCAAAUCAUGCAAGUUAGAGUCCAAAACAAGGGCAAAAGUGUUUGGAAAAGUAGAUAUGACGGAGACGUAUCACUUAACAACCAAGCCAGUAUUACGUAGGAACGUGCUUUUGGCACUGUUAGUGGACAGGUACUGACCCACUGGAGCAAGAGUAACAUUGCGGUUAUAGUUGCCUCGCCACCUUCAGAAGGUGGCGGUUCCACCAUUUUUUCCAUAGCUUGGUGAAAAGUUGUGGUUUUACAUUAGUAGUACCAGAACAGAAGAUAUUAAGGAGGCAGCAAAACCAAACAAAAUAGCUUUGGUCUAUAUACAGAACUUAUUCUGGUGAACCCAUGUAAAAUAAUAGUUGUAUUUUAUUGCAAAGUACAUAAUAAAACUAGGUUCCAAACAUAUGACCAUGUACCAUCGCUAAUGUAUUGUCUAUUUCUUCACAUUGUAUUGAGGGCUAAGGAUAAAGAGACAAGGUUUAUAAUACGGUAAGCAUAGUAUGACAUCAUUCAUAUCACAAAACAACUGAGAACAGACAAACAGGCAAUUGUAACGUUGUGUGGGCAAGUCCAGCACGGAACUAGAUUACAGGUCAAGAUCAAAGGAACAUCACUCCUCUCUUUUAAACCUUGUAAGGUGCAAUGAUACGCUAAGACAAUUGUGUAUAAAAUUCAAAAGAGUAACAGACAUUGGCUGCAAACCAUGCAGUCAAGGCACAAGUCAGAGUAAGCAGUAGUUAAAAGGCAUGAGGAUUAAGGACUUACAACAGCGGCUUUGACUGGUGUAGUCAUGCCCUUCUUCUUGCUGGUGUGACAGUCCUUGAAGAUUUCCACAACAUUUGGUUCAGGUACUUUUUGGUCCUUGCGGGCUUUCCUCUGCAUUUGGAACAAGUCAAUAUAGAUUUGAUAAUAUGGUACAACGAAAAGAGUGAAACAACAACUAAUUACAAGAGUCUCGCAGUGUACAAUAUAGCUACGAGAUCGUGUCGUUUGUUGGAAUUUCACUUUCGUACGGUUGGCCUUGUUCUUUGAACAGUUCAUCUACAAGAAGAUAGAUUUGUGUGGCACAUGCGUAAAUAGGACUUCAACAUGUGAUCUGAUCAUAUAUAUAUAUAAUGUACCUGAUACUUUGGAUCGGACCAGUGUUUAACGAGGCCUCUCCAGUCUUCAUCAGAUAUAUUUUCCACUGUAUAUGUUUGGGCAAGUUCACUGUUAGCCUUGCCUUCAAAGUGAGUUUUCCUCAAGUUAUACCGAUACUGUCGCAGAGCAGACUGGAAAACAUGGGUGCAAGCUUGUCUGGUUGCAUCAUAUUGGCUAUCCAACUUGAACCUCAUCUGUUGAAAAUUAUGGGAGUCUCAUUAUCAGCAACCUAGAAAGUAUUGGACAGAGCAAGACGAUAUUACUAGUUUCCAUACAUAACCAUACUUACAGAUAAAUGGUCGAGGAUGGUGUUGAAAUGGGUUUCGUCUUUGUCAUUCCUGUACUGAAUCCAUGUUGGGAGGAUACAUACAUGACACCUAACAGCAACCGCUGCCUCUAAUACUAACUUGGCUGACUCGGUAGCAUCACGUGGCCUUAUUAAACCUGCCUCAAAAUGGAUCUCCAUUCUUCCUCCACUAGAUUUAGUUAACGUAUCGAGCAUUAUCCCUGAUGUUUGUUUCCUCUUGCGCCUAGGUGCUAGUCCAACAACAAACAUAGGAAGUGUUAGUGUACAUCAAACUGUGAGACUACAUAUAAAGAAGCAUGCAACUGUAACUUGACUCCAGCAACUACCUUCUUGCUGUUGAAGCUCACAAAGUUCAUCUGAUCUUGCCAACUCAUCUUGUGUCAAGAGUGCUUCGGAAGUAGUGUCAGGUGGCAAGGGAGCUUGGGAACGUGCUGCUAGCUGAGUUAACCAACGAGUAAAUCGUGCAGCUGGUGGUACUGUGGAAGGUGUUGCAACAACUAGGGUUGUCUCUGCUUGUUUGGUGGCAGCUAUUUGUUUCUGUUUAGCUUGUUCUGCAGCUCGUGUAGCACGGGAUACCCUAUCGGUACAAUUUUCCGCUGGACUUUGACCUUUUAUUGCACCAUCAGUACUAGCAGAAUCUGCAGGAUUGUUCCGCUUCCCUUUCCCUGUCGUUCCGUCUUGCUUCCUCUUUCUCUGUGCCAUGUUAAGUCAAGCCGACAAGAAAAACGAAUAACAAUUUAGUUCUUCAGAACAAAUGUACUUUGAUGUAAGAACAUGGUGUGAUAGACAGAUAUUGUAUGUUCUAGAAAUAGAAACACGUGUCUUAGUCACAAGUAUAAUGUGUAAAGUAAGCAGAUGAAAUUCAACAAAAUUAGAAGCAAUACAAGCUAGACAUCAUACAUAACAUGCAACCACAUAUAACAGUGCCAAGAUAGAGGGAGCACCUAUGAUGGUGCACUAGGGGAGACGUGCUCAUCACGAACACAACUACGUUGAGUGUCUAUGCAUGUGUUGUCAUGGAAAUCAUCUUGGGGGAUGGAGGAGUAGAAUCUGUAGAGGCCCUCCAUUUGGAAGGAGCACCUUCAUCCACUGCCUUGCCAAAUUCCUUCCACUUUUUUAAUUUUGAAUUGUCAAGUAAAACCGACAAGAAAAAGCAAUAAAAUUCACUCUUCAGAACUCAUUCGUGCAUGAUACUGACAAUCACUACUUUGAUGUAAGGCAAACACAUGAUUCCAGGAUGGAAUAAUACGAAAAACAGGACGACAUGGCAUAUUCACAACCGUUUGCGUAAACUAAGCAGAAACCAUUUCACCAAAUAAGAAGCAAUGCAAUCUAGACACCACGUGAAAGAUGCAACCAAUAUGACUCUGUCAAGUCAAAAGUGUCCCAUCAUAAAUGGCAUUUCAACAAAUUAGAAGCAGCGGAUGCUAUAAAUCAUAUCAAAGAUGCAACUAAUAUCACACUGCAUAUACUGAAGGUGUCUCGUCAUAUUGAUUUAUGCGGGAUACAAAAAAACAAUAGUUUUAUGUGAGGACAUUCUUAAUAGACAGAUGUACUAUGUACUAAAUACAGGAAGGCAUGUCACAUUAACUGGUAUAAUGUAUAAGCUAAGCAGAAUAGCACAUGCAGUUUAACCAGAUUGGAAGAAUUACAAUCUUGACACCAUAUGCAACAUGCAACCACAUAUCACGUUGCCAAGUUAGAGCAAGCACCUGCGAUGCUAGUGUAGGGGAAAUGCGGUAAUCAACUACAGAGCUACGUUCACUAUCUUCAUCCAGCCUUGCUGUUUCUUGAGAAUCAUGUCGGGAGGCUGACGCUGCAUUAUUUAAAUGAGGAGUAAUCCACUUGCCUGACUGCCUCAUCAUAAGUGAUUGAUGAGGGAUACACAAGAACAUUAGUUUGAUGUAAGAACAGGGUUAAUACAUAGAUGUACUAGUAUGUACCAAAAAUAGAAAGGCAUGUCAUUUUCAAAGGUAUAAUGUGUAAGCUAAGCAGAUGCAAUUUAACCAAAUUGGAAGCAAUACAAGCUAGACAUCCGGCUGGAGUGGUGAGCAUGAUCAUCUAGGACCUGAGAGCCUGGUGGGAGGCGGGCUGCUUCGCCACCAUCGCGGCUUUUUAGUUGGCUUCCAGGCGAUGCCUCUGUUUGCUGGGCUUGUCACUGGCUCGGCCAGUGCCCUGACUAGCUAUUUAUCUUCUGGUGCUCACGGGAUGGUUGUUCAUGUAAAAAAUAUCUUUCCUUACCUUAAUAAAGAUCGACUUCGGCCUUCCGAAUACAAGCUAGACACCAUAUGGAACAUGCAACCACAUAUGACACCGCGAAGUUGAAGCAAGCACCUGGGAUGGCGGUUCAUUGCGAGCGAGGUCAUCAACUGCAGAGCUACGUUUACCAUCUCCAUCUGUUGACACUGCACCUAUCAUAAGGCUGAAACGUGUCUGGCCUAUCCGCGUAAGAUGCUGGAGCAACUUCUCUCUUUUCUUUUUUGCUUCUCUCAUAGCAACCGAGUCUGAAAUACCCUUGCAUAAAAACACAAUAGUGAGAGUAUGGGUGAAGUGUGUGCAGAACUAGUGCACUGUAAAAGUAGCAGAUAGCAGGUGACUGAAAAAUAAAUGACACGAGACAUAUGAUAGCUCUACAACAUUGCAUGGCAAACAAAAUUAGAUUCUACUCCGUAUGAUUUUGUAAUAUAUGAGCACAGGGAAUGCAGGUACUCCUCCAGCACACCACCACAUGUGGUCAUAUCAAGAUAAGAGUCGACUGAAAAUAAAUAGGUCAGUCAAUUUUUUUAAUGAACCAUCCGAUCUAUAAGGAACGGGAAGACGACCUUCGUCUACCUCCCGCCAGUCACUAUUGACGAUCUUUCUCGAACUGCCAGCGACCACCGUCCCAGACCCCUGCCUCCGCCGCCCCGCCCUCCCCUUGACCUCACACUACCGAUGUGCUUGGCAGCGCCGCCAGGACAUCCCUUUAAUCCUGGCCGACCUCCAGAUCAGGCGCCAGUAGCUCUAGGCCCCACACGCCCCUAAGAUAAACACCGAGGCGGUGCUUCCUUGGCGUAAUAGGCGGACUAGUGCCUGUUACGCCGGGGAAUGCUUCCGUUAAUUGGGAAUCAACUGACCAGGAAUUGAAAUUCAAGGGGGCGGACCUCUAGCUAAGGUGAAAUAGUAUAUGAGGAGAAACCUUGUGCAUCGCGAGUUACUAGGAACAUCUAGUAUCAAGAAGAAGCGGCCAACUAGUGUCUUCUGUGGGAUGAAUACCAUGCAAGCAGACACGUAAGAUUUGCACGAAUAAGGGAAGAUGAGUACCAUUUUCGGUUGCUAGUGUGGUCGCCUCCACAUGUCGCGCCGAUCUUCUUCUUUUUGCCGGGGAAACCGAUGUUCUAGAGGAGGGUGCCGUCUUGGAUGAACCCAUGGCCAAAUUGUUGACUGUGUUGCCGUGGCUGUAUGUCAGCGGAGGAGAAGCAGAUCCGAGGCGGCGAAGGACGGCUUAGCAGGAAUAGCUCCGGUGUAGUGGAGGGUGGCGAAGUUGGAGCUGAAGGAAAUAUGCCCUAGAGGCAAUAAUAAAGUUAUUAUUUAUUUCCUUAUAUCAUGAUAAAAGUUUAUUAUUCAUGCUAGAAUUGUAUUAACCGGAAACAUAAUACAUGUGUGAAUACAUAGACAAACAGAGUGUCACUAGUAUACCUCUACUUGACCAGCUCGUUAAUCAAAGAUGGUUAUGUUUCCUAACCAUGGACAAAGAGUUGUUAUUUGAUUAACGUGAUCACAUCAUUAGUUGAAUGAUCUGAUUGACAUGACCCAUUCCAUUAGCUUAGCACCCGAUCGUUUAGUAUGUUGCUAUUGCUUUCUUCAUGACUUAUACAUGUUCCUAUGACUAUGAGAUUAUGCAACUCCCGUUUGCCAGAGGAACACUUUGUGUGCUACCAAACGUCACAACGUAACUGGGUGAUUAUAAAGGAGCUCUACAGGUGUCUCCAAAGGUACAUGUUGGGUUGGCGUAUUUCGAGAUUAGGAUUUGUCACUCCGAUUGUCGGAGAGGUAUCUCUGGGCCCUCUCAGUAAUGCACAUCACAUAAGCCUUGCAAGCAUUGCAACUAAUGAGUUAGUUGCGAGAUGAUGUAUUACGGAACGAGUAAAGAGACUUGCCGGUAACGAGAUUGAACUAGGUAUUGAGAUACCGACGAUCGAAUCUCGGGCAAGUAACAUACCGAUGAUAAAGGGAACAACGUACGUUGUUAUGCGGUCUAACCAAUAAAGAUCUUCGUAGAAUAUGUAGGAGCCAAUAUGAGCAUCCAGGUUCCGCUAUUGGUUAUUGACCAGAGACGUGUAUCAGUCAUGUCUACAUUGUUCUCGAACCCAUAGGGUCCGCACGCUUAAGGUUUCGAUGACAGUUAUAUUAUGAGUUUAUGAGUUUUGAUGUACCGAAGUUAGUUCGGAGUCCCGGAUGUGAUCACGGACAUGACGAGGAGUCUCGAAAUGGUUGAGACAUAAAGAUUGAUAUAUUGGACGGCUAUAUUCGGACACCGGAAGUGUUCCGGGUGAUUUCGGAGAAAACCGGAGAGCCGGAGGGUUACCGAAACCCCCCUGGGAGAAGUAAUGGGCCUUAUGGGCCUUAGUGGAGAGAGAGAGGGGCAGCCAAAGGUGGGCCGCGCGCCUCUUCCCCCUGGUCCGAAUUGGACUAGGAGAGGGUGGGCGGCGCCCCCCUUUCCCUCUCCCUCCCCACUUCUUUCCCCCUCCUAGUAGGAGUCCUACUCCUACUAGGAGGAGGACUCCUCCUUGGCGCGCCAUAGAGGGCCGGCCGGCCUCCUCCCCUUGAUCCUUUAUAUACGGGGGUAGGGGGCACCCCUUGACACACAAGUUUAUCCACGUGAUCAUAUUCUUAGUCGUGUGCGGUGCCCCCUUCCACCAUAGUCCUCGAUAAUAUUGUAGCGGUGCUUAGGCGAAGCCUUGCGACGGUAGUACAUCAAGAUCGUCACCACGCUGUCGUGCUGACGGAACUCUUCCCCGACACUUUGCUGGAUCGGAGUCCGGGGAUCGUCAUCGAGCUGAACGUGUGCUAGAACUCGGAGGUGCAGUAGUUUCGGUGCUUGAUCGGUCGGGCCGUGGAGACGUACGACUACAUCAACCAAGUUAACGCUUCCGUUGUCGAUCUACAAGGGUACGUAGAUCACACUCUCCUCCUCUCGUUGCUAUGCAUCACCAUGAUCUUACGUGUGCGUAGGAAAUUUUUUGAAAUUACUAUGUUCCCCAACAGGAGCGGCAGCGGUGAGGCGCAGGACAACGUGGUUGAGCUGGCUCGGGUACGGACGACUCAGCCUCGGCUUCAAUUACUAGCCGUGGAGGGCGUUGCAGUUGAGGUUGCGGUGGACAACGACGUCGGGGUAUCGGCUCCGGCGUGAUGGAGGAGGGAGGCAGUUGAUGGGUGGAAUGGGGUGGCGGACGGAGGACGCCGAGGUUUCGCCGCUGGUGGAGAGGUAGUUUUUGCGCCCACAGAGUGCGNNNNNNNNNNNNNNNNNNNNNNNNNNNNNNNNNNNNNNNNNNNNNNNNNNNNNNNNNNNNNNNNNNNNNNNNNNNNNNNNNNNNNNNNNNNNNNNNNNNNNNNNNNNNNNNNNNNNNNNNNNNNNNNNNNNNNNNNNNNNNNNNNNNNNNNNNNNNNNNNNNNNNNNNNNNNNNNNNNNNNNNNNNNNNNNNNNNNNNNNNNNNNNNNNNNNNNNNNNNNNNNNNNNNNNNNNNNNNNNNNNNNNNNNNNNNNNNNNNNNNNNNNNNNNNNNNNNNNNNNNNNNNNNNNNNNNCGGGGGGGGGGGAGGGGGAGAACCAUGUUUCGGUCUGGGACAUGCUUGUUUUUAGCUUUUUUGAACAGAAUAUGGGACGCGCUUGUUUGAAAUUUGGGGAAAGUACAAACUUUGCCCCCCUCUUAAAUUUUGGACCUACUGCGGGUCGAGGGUAGGAUGGUAAUCCCAGGUGUCCUAAAUAGUGGGCGGGAGCGAUUUCGGCUGUGCGCGUGUGUGCUUAGGCGACCAUUGUGUAUGAAUGUUUUUCGGAGGCGGUUGCGUGGCGUCUGGAUGAAGCUACAAACCUACUCCGGUUUAGACCUUUGAACGUCAGGCCGGUAGGUUUCACGGGUCGGAGUUAUUAGAAAAGUAAUUUCCUUGUACUACCAAACAUUGGUCUCACGCGGUUUCAGGCGAGUAGAGGCUCUUUUGGCGCUUCAUUCGAAUUUUUAAAACACAAGCAUUCACAUUUAGAGUACUCUUGAACUUUGAGGAUAUACCUAAAUAGACAACGUUAAAUUUGACCUUGUAUGUUUGAAAACCUCAUUAAAUUAUCCGCUUCUUUUUGAAUUUUUGACACUUGAAAAUCCUAUAACUACGAUUAUUUUGGAAUGGAGGAGCUAAAUUAGAAUCUAUUUUGUACACGACUACAUAUGCUAUUAUGUACAAAAUCAGAGCAAAGAUUGGUGCCCCAUAAUUUAGGUAUGAUUUACAAAUGCCAUGAUAUCAAAUUCAAAUAAUUGAAUGGACUUCAUGUUGAAUUCGAUUUUUUUGAACCACCUUAAGUUGAAUUCAAAUGUAUGCUAGUUCAUAGGUAGCUAUUUAUAAUGUUCAUUGUGUAACUUUCGUAUGUAUAAUGUGCUUUACACACACAACAUGAACUAUACUCACGUUUAUAUUCGAUUGCUAAAGCGAUGCAUUGCCUGGAGUUCAAAAUACUAACUAUGUGGAUCAAUUGUGUCGAAUAAUAACAUAGACAUGCUCAAAUUCGAUAGAAUCUAGAUGUGUGAUGGAUCAAUGACCGUUCCUUACACGAACUGCAAAUAUCAUGAUCCCAUCCUAAUAUUUGGAUACAAUUUAUAUGUUUAAUAAAUGUGUACAAUUGUCUUGUAUGUGUAGUCUCACUCUCCAUCGGUGGUCUCUCACACAUGCUUACACACUCUCUCCCGAGAUGUCUUUCUCGCACACAUGCUCUCAAUAUAACCCUCCCUCCCUCUCGUAACCAUUUACGACUGUUUUCAUUAACCUUUAUCACAAGCACUCUUCCUCUCGCAAGCAUACACACGCACAAUCCCCAUCGACCCUUUCUAUAUACAUAGACCUGCCUACGUGUCUCCUAUACGCACAUUAUCUUUAGGCAUGUCUCUCACGCAUUGUCUCACACCUUUCUUCCUAAUCGACAAGUAUGAUUCUAGCAGAGCAUUCUGUAAGAUGCCCCUUAGAGUUAGGUUGGAUGAAUAGUAAUACCAGAGAUAAAGGGGUUACCUUAGUACGAGAACCUAGGGUUACAAAUCCCAGCCGGCUUUGUCAGUGGACAUAGAGUCCUUCACAAUUAUGCUAUCUUUGUCUUGUAUGACUAGUCAUCCAUGGGUCUCCCUAAAUGCGACACGGGCCGACCAAUGUGCCGCAGGACGGAACCGAACAAAGGGCCUCACCUCGACCCACCGGACCUCAUGCGGUGACACACCCUCUGCCCCCACGUCUCGUUAUCUUCUCACACCCACACAUACCAACACAAACACCACACACACAAAAAAUAUUCUCCUGGUGCCUCUAUCCACUCCCCCCUUGCAUAUACACACUCAAGGGAAUCUCUUGCCGUGAUGUCAUGUUCGUCUCUCUCUCUCUCUCGACCACUCUUAUUUCUCAUGCUAUCUCUCCCACGCCCCCCUGUCGGCCCCUCUAUCCAUGCCUCUCUCGAAUACAUAAUACACACACAUACCUCUCUAGGCCCUGCCAAAUGCAUCAACUACACAUUCACACAUAUUACAUCACGUACCCCAUUGAUCUAAAAAGCCCUCUCUUCACGUUUAUUUCGCAUACAACAUUCCUUUUGAAUAAAGUGUGGCCAAAAAAUAUUUUAGAAUUUCUACAUAUAUACAACAUUACAAAGUUAUAUGGAGGAGUAUGAAUGCUUGCAUUGCAUGGUGCCCACAAUGAUAUUUAUUCCGCACUGUGAAUUUGUAUAUUUUUAUACUAUAUAUAAAGUUAGUCAUAAUAAAGAGAAACGAAGAGCAUCUCUCUCUCCAUCGCAUACCCCCCUCUACGCCCCUUUCACGUACGCACACAAACUAUCUCCAGGUCCUCUAAAAGUAAGCCCCCAGCACAUUCACGCAUGUUUCAUCUUUCUCUCGCGAUAUAUACAAUGACGAUCAUUGUAUUUGAAGUGAAAGCACGAUACAUACAUUGGACUUCAGAAUCCACUCAUUACGAUCACCAUUUAUGUUUUGUGGUUAUCAUACAGUCACGGGCUCACCGUACAACUCUGUAUUUGCUCAAGACACGACUAGUUGACCAGUUAAACGCUCCACGUGGCACCUCUAGUGUUGCAUCACAUUAUCUCACUACCAACGGGCCCACCUGUCGGCUUGUAUCUACUCUACAUCUACACUCUUAUAAAAUACUAGCAAGAUGCCCAUGCGUUGCAUGGAACAUCAAGAUGCAUUUCUUUGAGUAGUUUAUCUUGUGGGAGAAAAGGAUGAACAAGGGAAGGCCUUAUUUGCAAGUGUGGAGAGGGGGUGUGGGUAUCUUUUUGCAAAAUUGCCAUAGUUUCCUUCUUAUCCGUCGGAUAUAGAUCGGACGGCCUAUAUUGCAGGAUGGCGGGCACACGAUCAUCACCGACUAUGCUUUUUAUAAGAGUAGGGAUAAAAUGCACUCUUAUAAAAAAUAGAGUUGGUGAUGAUGGUGUGCCUGCCAUCCUACAAUAUAAGCCGUCUGAUUUAUAUCUGACAGAUAGGAAAGAAAUUAUGACAAUUUUGCAAAAAGGUACCCACACACCUCUCCACAUUUGCAAAUAAGGCCUUCCCUCGUUCAUCCUUUUCUCUCACAAGAUAAACUAGUCAUACAAAUGCAUCUUGAUGUUACAUGCAAUGCACGGACAUCUUGCUAGUAAGAAUGAAAACAAACGACAAAAAAAUUGGACGGUGGUUCGAAGUCAUGACCGCGGGCACAACGGACAAGGUGGCCUUAUAUUGGUAUGCUGAGCCGUCAGUUUUAACACACAGGAGCUGGUGUGGUGAUUAUACACACACGCACGCAUGCACAUGAACUGCAUGCAUGCAACACUCACACAAACACAUGCACCCACACACGCACACAACACUCACACGUACACAUGCAUCCACGCACGCAUGCAACACUCACAUGCACACACGCACGCACGCAUGCACACACCAGUACACCACACGACCAACACACACUCUCACGCUCAAGUGCUCAACCUACACGUGCAUGCGCACACAUCAGGCCCUGACAGACACAUACACAACCAGGUGAUUCCCGCGCACGGGGUGGAGUCUUGUCGCGCCUGCGUAAAUUUGUGUUUAUCUGACCUUUUCCCUAUGCGAACUGACAUGUGGGACCCACAAGGAACGUGGUCAAUUAAACUAGUCAACAUGGUGCCUGGCAGACUAUUUGGCCGGUCAACAGAGUGCAAUCCGAUGCUGAACCGUGAGCAAGUGACCGUAUAAUCACCGCAAAACGUAUAUAGUGACCAUAAUCAGCUUAUUCUGAAGUUCGGUGAACGUAUUACACUUUUCUCUCUGUAGGCCCUCCAAAACUACAUCUCUACAUGUUCUCGCAUGUUACAUCUAACAACUAUGCAAUACAUCACUACUACUACUACUACACUCUAACACAAUAAAUCAUAGUAUGUGUUUUUAGUUUUACUAGAUAUCAUAUUGUUACUUAAUUAUUUAGUUUGCAUACAUUAAAAUUGCCUUUGAAAUGUAUGGCCAGUAUCAUAUACCGCACGGGAAAAAUCUUGCCCUUUCCUAUUUAAUCGGGUUUGUAUCGAUGGAUCGUGCGAAACAACAAAACUAUAGUACUAUAUACAGUACACGUGACAGUUCACUGGGCCGUCGUGUCGUGUACUCCUCCAUCGUAAGAGUGGAGCACUCGCUUUCAUAAAUCUUCUAGUCCCUUUCGCCGACAUGUGGGGCAUCAAGCUACCGGGUCCACGUGCCAUACCGGAAUACAGUGCAGAGCAGCCGGGGUGAAGCACCCAGUCAUGGCGCCGGCGUAGUAAUGAGCAAUGAGGCAUCAAAUCACAAAGCUGCACCUUUACCGUAGUUAAGUUGGAGGGAUGAAGUAAUAAUGCUAAAAGAAGAAGUUGGAGGGACGAAGCAACCAUCAUUUCACUCGUUGCUGAAUCCGCUUCUCCCUCAUCUUCUUCAAGUUAACCACGUGUUGCUUCUGCCGUUGUUCUGCCUCAUGUGGGAAGCGGACCAGCUUGGUAAAGCACUGACACGUGGGACCGCAUGUUAGCAAACCGCCAGGACAACAUCCUCUAAAAAUAAGAAACCUCCAUGCCAUCCGCGUGGCAAAAUCACCUCCUUUUUACUAAUCUUGAUUCUAUAAUUUUUUAGAUCAAUAUAAUUGAGACUUGUAUAGAUAGCACACAGGAGCAAAACCAGUGGUACGGUUAAGGGCAUCCACAAUGUGUAGCAAAUGUGAAAAUAGCUUUUGGCAUCGUGGGAACCAUUGUGGACGGUGUUGCCAAAGCCAAAAGGAUGGAACCGAAGCUCCAUGAUUGAUUGACUGAAGGAAUAGAAAAAUGCAACGUCUCUCCUCUUUCUCCCAUGCUUGGACGCCUGUACAGUAUAGAGGACAGAGUCUACACCCCUGUUCCUUCUAUCACAAAUCACAAAGUAGUGAGGCGUCAAAUCACAAAGCACGGACGAAGCAACCAUCAUUUCACUCUUCGCCGACUCUGCUUCUCCAUCGUCUUCUUCGAGAAACCAUCUCACCGCACUAAGCUGGACGGACGACGCUAUUGUGUACGAGUAGUACUAGUACAUUUACGCGUCCUUUGGUUCAACGGACUUCCUAGAUGCAAAUAAGGCGGUUGUCUCGGCUUGCAGGCGGCACUUGUAAAUGACUUACCGUGGUCUCCCUCAAUGGUGUUCUCCGUCGAAUGCACUUCGCCAAACCACAACGUUUGAGAUAUCAUCGACGUCACCGCAAUGGGGAAGGAAGUCAAAUAUAGUUACUACCUCCAUUUUUUGUACACAAGGCCAGUAUAUCAAAAUUACAAUUUGCAAAAGGCCACUAACACUAAUCAAGGCAAAAUUGAUGGCGUUUGCCUCGUACUAGCAACCAAGGACAUUAAUAUCCCCUGCAUGCAUGCGGAAGUGAGAAGUUUGGUUUGCAUGGCGCUGCAUUAAUCAAGCGAUGAGGAGUGAGAUGGUUAGCUCUUUGGGCUUUGGAGAAAAAAAUACGCAUUAAUUGACACAUGAAAUGAGGAUUUGUAUCGAUUAAUCCCGCGAAGGAAAACCCCGCCUUUCUUUUUUAACACUAGUACUCCUAGUACGUAGUAGGUACUACGUACUUAUCCUGUUUGGGUCUAGGCCUUGCAUUGCCAUACUUCGCCACACAUUUUUGCCAAGCUUGCUUAAAGUUUUCAAAAUGAAAAGGAGGUACACUUGCGCACAGCUGUCGCGGUCGCACCGCACCCUCACACGGUCGCUCUUGCACGCUGCGGCCACACCGCACCCUCACAUGCACAUGUGACAGCCUGGGUUUUACCCUCUUUCAGUUGCCUGAUUUUCAUUUGAAAUGAUUUUGAAAUUUGGAGUUUUUGAAUCUUUUCAUGUGGACUUAAACACUUGGGUAGCCUCGUGUAACGCCCUCGAUGCGGCUAUAUCUCCCACGUGUCGAAGCACGACUUAGAGGCAUAACCGCAUUGAAAGCAAUGUCGCAAGUGAGGUAAUCUUCACACAACCCAUGUAAUACAUAAGGGAAAGAGAUACAUAGUUGGCUUACAAUCGCCACUUCACACAAUACAUGAAUAAAGCAAUACAUCAUCCAGAUACAAUUAAGGUCCAACUACAGAACCAAAAUAAAAGAAGACUACCCCAAAUGCUACACAGAUCCCUGAUCGUCCCAACUGGGCUCCACUACUGAUCAACUAGAAAGAAACAACACAAAGGACAAGAUCUUCAUCGAGCUCCUCCUUGAGCUUGGUUGCGUCAUCUGCAUGGUAUCAUCGGCACCUGCAAACUGGUUUUGGAAGUAUCUGUGAGUCAAGGGGACUCAGCAAUCUCACACCCUCGCGAUCAAGACUAUUUAAGCUUAUAGGAAGGGUAAAAGGUAUGAGGUGGAGCUGCAGCAAGCGACUAGCAUAUAUGGUGGCUAACAUAUUCGCAAAAGAGAGCGAGAAGAGAAGCCAAAAGCAUGGUCGAUGAACUAUGAUCAAGAAGUGAUCCUAGAACAACCUACGUCAAGCAUAACUCCAACACCAUGUUCACUUCCCGGACUCCGCCGAGAAGAGACCAUCACGGUUACACACGCGGUUGAUGUAUUUUAAUUAAGAUCAACUUCAAGUUUUCUACAACCGGACAUUAACAAAUUCCCAUCUGCCCAUAACCGCGGGCACGUCUUUCGAAAGUUCAAAUCCCUGCAGGGGUGUCCCAACUUAGCCCAUCACAAGCUCUCACGGUCAACGAAGGAUAUUCCUUCUCCCAAGACAUUCCGAUCAGACUCGACAUCCCGGUUACAAGACAUCCUCGACAAUGGUAAAAAAAAUCCAGCAACACCGCCCGAAUGUGCCGACAAAUCCUGAUAGGAGCUGCACAUAUCUCGUUCUCAGGGCACACUCAAAUGAUACAUCCUACGAGUAGAACCAACCCUCAAGUNNNNNNNNNNNNNNNNNNNNNNNNNNNNNNNNNNNNNNNNNNNNNNNNNNNNNNNNNNNNNNNNNNNNNNNNNNNNNNNNNNNNNNNNNNNNNNNNNNNNNNNNNNNNNNNNNNNNNNNNNNNNNNNNNNNNNNNNNNNNNNNNNNNNNNNNNNNNNNNNNNNNNNNNNNNNNNNNNNNNNNNNNNNNNNNNNNNNNNNNNNNNNNNNNNNNNNNNNNNNNNNNNNNNNNNNNNNNNNNNNNNNNNNNNNNNNNNNNNNNNNNNNNNNNNNNNNNNNNNNNNCAGAACCCAAGGGAAAGAAAAGGCUAGGUGGCGAAUGGUAAAAACAAUGUGGGCAUUGCUGGAGGAGUUUUAUUCAAGGCGAACUGUCAAGGGGUUCCCAUUAUAACCCAACUGUGUAAGGAACGCAAAAUCGAGGAACACAACACCGAUAUGACGGAAACUAGGGUGGCAAGAGUGGAACAAAACACCAGGCAUAAGGCUGAGCCUUCCACCCUUUACCAAGUAUAUAGAUGCAUUAAUUAAAUAAGAGAUAUUGUGAUAUCCCAACAAAAUAUCCAUGUUCCAACAUGGAACAAAGUCCAAUCUUCACCUACAACUAACAACGCUAUAAGAGGGGCUGAGCAAAGCGGUAACAUAGCCAAACAACGGUUUGCUAGGACAAGGUGGGUUAGAGGCUUGGCUUAACAAUAUGGGAGGCAUGAUAAUCAAGUGGUAGGUAUCGCAGCAUAGGCAUAACAAAAGAGCGAGCAAACUAGCAAGCAAAGAUAGAAGUGAUUUCGGGGGUAUGAUCAUCUUGCCUGAAAUCCCGCAAGGAAGAAGAACGAGUCGAUGAAGAAGAUAAACAGACGUAGUCGAAUGGGUCCUCACAAACGCGAUGUUAACGGAACCAACCCAAAGAAGCAACACCGGAAAGAAGCACACAGCAUAGUAAACAACCACCACACGAACAUGGUAUGAUAUGCAGGAUGCGGUAUGUGAUGCAUAUGCAUGAUUUGGAAAGGAAUGAUUGAAACUGGCCUCAACAUGGAAAUCAAAGAGUGCCACUGGAAAGGUGAGGUGAUUUCGGUCGAAAUCGAUAUAAAGAUCACCGGAAUCGGAUGCACGGUUUGGAAAUGGCAAUCAAAACAAAUAUGGCACCGGUCUGCGAUUAACAGCAAGUGGCCAUCUAAAUGCAUCAAGAUAAAUAUGCUACAGCACUCAAACAUAGCAACAAAAUACAUGGAAGGGAUCCACUCAUGAUGCUUGACAAAAGAUGAACACUGAGCUACGGCUUAUUCACUCAUUAACAGGUUCAAACAAGCAUGGCAAAAAUGCAAAAGAUAACAGGUUUCAGACUUAGUGAAAUUAACAGGAUAUCAGGAAUUUAUCAUCAGGAAGCAAUGUUUAGAGCAUGAUAACUACAUGCUACAGGAACAUAUCAUGGCAAAGCAAUGCAUGGCAUGAAGCUACUCAAAGCACAUAACAAAAGUCCCUUAGUGACCAUGAGCCAAAAGGGAUCAGAAAAUACAAUUGCAAGCAUGUGAACAUAGCAAAAACAUAAACAGAUUCGGACUUGGUGAAAAACUGGAGCAUGCAAAACAGAUUAACAAGUAGGCAUGUUUACGAGCUCGAUACACUCACUACAAGGCAUGGCAUGACAAACUAAGCAUACACCCGUGAAUAAUACAUGGCAUAGAAGCUAGACAUGGCAAUAACAACAACAUAGCAUGCACGGAUCAACAACAACAAGCUUGGCAAAAUCGCUAAACAUUUUAACAAUCUGCCAGGAACAUUUUAUAGCAAAAGUAGAGCUCGAUUGACUCAAGCUAGGGUGCUCCAUAAAUGCAAACAAAGACAUGGAUGGAUAGAGCACCACAAUAUUAACAAAACAUCUUUACUGAUCAUCCUCGAAAGAGGCACAGAUCACUAGGAAACAACAUGAACAUAUGGCAUAACAACAAAAUCAGGACAAGGACUUAGUGAAAUUCUAAGUCCCUGAAAUCAGCAUCGACGAUUACGCUACUUCGCAAGCUUGUGCUAGUCACCACAAAGAUCACAAAAAUACAUGGCAUACACCCCUGUAAAUAUGGCAUGGCAUAUAACAAAACACAUGUAGAGCUCAGGAUCAUAGCAUGCACACAUUAAUCAUGGCAAAAAUGACAAAAGGCCAUUUGCUGAAACAGAUCUAAAAUAAUCAUCACAUAGCCCUCUUCUAACAGCAUUUCGGGCAUCAAGAUUAGCUCAAAUGAAAAUGAUGCAGUGAGAUGAAAUGAUGUACUCGUCGAGGCGAACAUUUUGAUAUGCUACACGCGCAAAACGGAGCUACGGAUGCAAAGUUAUGACAUGAUGAACAUGGGCAUAUGAAUCUGGAAACUUCGGGGACUUAGUGAAAUUUUACCUCCGCGAAAAGUGGAUCUCGCGGAUCGGGACGGAGUGGUGCAACGCGGCCGUUUGGAUCGGAGGACGUGGCUGUGCAGGGACGGAGCCGUUCGGAUCUGGCAGAGAAGGAGUCAACGGCGGCGCCGACGGCUUCUCUGGCAACGAGGGAAGGUGGACCUCCGACGAGGUGGCUGCAGCCGACCGGAUCCGGCGGCCGGUGGCUGGAUCGGGGCACAUGCGACGUCCGGCGACGAGAGGUUGAAGGAGCUCGGCUCGGGUUCACCGCGCGGGGAGGUUGGGGCUCCUCCUCGCCGGGGUUUGUCGCCGGUGACGGCGCGCAGGCGGCGGGGCCGAGCCGGCGCGUGCGGCGGGGUGCCGGGUGAAGGAGGCGGCGCGGGAAGGGCUUCCGGUGGUGAGGCGGCGGUGGCCGCCGCCUCUCCGAAGAAGUCCGGCGAAGGUCCGGCGAAGGUGCGGCGCGGGCACGCGCCCGUGGGCGGCGGCGCCGGCGAUCGGGCCCAUGCGGGCCCGCGAUGGGCUCCGCGGGCCGGCGCGGUGGUGGAUCGGCGGCGGGGACACGUGGCGCAAAACGAUAGGCUGAGGGCGGCGACGGAGGCGACGUGGCGCGACGCCAUUGGCUGGAGUGACAUGGAGGGGCGCGGACAUGUCCGGCGCGGUGGGGAUUUCGUCUGACGGCGCGAGGAGGACGAAGUUAGGGUUUCAUCCGCGAAUUUUGACGGGAUGCACAUAUAUAUAGGUAGAGGGAGCUAGGAGAGUCCAAGUGAGGUGCGGUUUUCGGCCACGCGAUCGUGAUCGAACGACCGAGAUGAUGGAGGGGGUUUAGGUGGGUUUUGGUCCACUUUGGAGGGGUGUUGGGCUGCAACACACACGAGGCCUUUUCGGUCCCUCUGUUAACCGUUGGAGUAUCAAACGAAGUCCAAAUGGCACGAAACUUGACAGGCGGUCUACCGGUAGUAAACCAAGGCCGCAUGACAAGUCUCGGUCUAAUACGAAAAUGUUUAACACCCGCACACGAAAAGAUGUAGAAAGAGACACCCGGUGACAUAGGAGCGCCGUAUUGCAAAACGGACAAUGGGGAAAAUGCUCGGAUGCAUGAGACGAACAUGUAUGCAAAUGAAAUGCACAUGAUGACAUGAUAUGUAAUGCAUGACAUGCAAGCAAUGACAAGGCAACAACAGCGAAUAACUGGAGGACACCUGGCACAUCGGUCUCAGGGCAUCACACCUUGACUUUCACCCAAGUGCCUCAUCUCCCUCUCUAAACAUCAUUUCCUCUCUGGUUCACCUCAUAAUAAAAUUUGGAAUAUUUAUCUUUAAUGAAAAAUAUUCAUUUCCUUCCCUUAAACCCUAGCUAGAUCAAUGUGCUCCAAAGCAACCCCAUUUUUUCUUGCCCAAAAAAAUCUGAGAAAAUUCACAAAUAUUCUUUGAACCCUAGGGCACCUUCCUGAGCAAAAAUAUUGCACCACUUUUUGGAAUAUUUUUUCUAUAGAAAAUAUUUUCUGUUCUGGACAGAAAUGGUGGUUUCUACAGCAACUACCAUUUUACUUGCUCCAAUGAGGCUGAUUUUUCUUGUGCAUCAUCACCUUAGUAGAUGAUUGCUAGCCUCCAAAACCCAGCCCUAAACUCCCAGCCAUUUGACCUCAGUAAACUCUCAAAGUUACUGAUCAGAAACUUACUUGGCUUGUAAAAUAUUUUCUACUGCGCCUGGAUCCAAACCAAAGUGUGGUAAACUUCAAAAAUACCACGAACAACAAGCCAGACAUGAACUUUGGACGUAGGCUGGCCUGAGGGCAAAGUUCACGCAGUGACCACAUGUGUACAUGAUGCCAGCCUGCAUGUCGACGCGCUCUGGGUGCCGCCGAGCGCUCUGUUUCACGCGUGCUCACUUCCCCGACUGCCAAAGCGUGCCAAACCUCGCCACCAUCUUCGUCCAAACCCCCUUAACUCUCGCCUGGCACUCACCGACGCCGGAGCUCGCCGCAGCGAGCACGGGCACGGUGCGGCCAACGUAACAUUGCGGUGUGCACUGUGCUCGUCGCCUUCUCCUCGGUCAUGUGCUCGUCCUCGUUCGCCCACAGUCCCCGCGUGAGCUGCAUCGCCUUCUCCCCCUCUCACUGACGCCGCUCGUCGCCGGGCGCCGUGUCCAGGUGUCGACGGCGGAGCCCGAUCCCCCCCUCGCUGCUCGCCUAUAAAUGGAGCCACUCCCAGCCUCCUCGAGCACCAUCCUUCACUCCCACACACCCCAUAACACCGUAGGAAACCGUAGCCCAGUCGGACAGGCUGCGGGCCACCGCCCCUGAGCACGAGCUCACCGGCGAUCCUCUCAGGUCGCCACAGUAGCUCCAGCUCCUCCCAGGCCUGGGCAAUCCUUCCAGGGCCUCCGCCACUCUCCGGUGGUGCUGUUCCGCCUGGUUGAAGCCCCUAGAGUCGCCGUUGUUCGCCGUCGCCUUCGUCUCCUGCGACCUCUGAUCUCUACCUCCGCUUGCAAGGUCGAUUCUGACGCCGUCCGACCACCCCUAGCUACGCUACGGGUAUGGGCAGGUGUGCCUCCAUCCCCUUUCUCGAUCCCUCCCUCUCGUUUUGGCCAAGGAGCGCUCAUCACCGGCGUGAUCUCCAGCGAAGCCGCAACCUCCUCUGUUUCCUUCUCCCUCUUCCCCCACCUGACUAGUGGGCCCCGCUAGUCAGCCACUCAGUAUGCGCGUGAAGUGGUACGAGUGGUGGUGCCCUGAGGCUUUACGCCUUCGAUGUCACCCCCCUGUCUGUUUUAUUUAAAUUCAAAUUUCAUUUAUAUCCAGAGAGAUUCAAACAGCUAUAACUCUUCAACCAUAAGUCCAAAUGAAUUGAUUCUUUUUUGCAUUGUGUUCUUUGCAAAGAAAUCUAGCAUCUCACCAAAAAUGGGAUUUUCCCCUGCUGUCUAGAUUUUCUGGUGAUUUUCAGAAGGGUUCUUAAUAUUUCCUUUUUGUGUUUAAAUUUAUUUUCAGAGAGUGAAGCUUGUAUUGAGGAACACCAGAGGGCUUGUGAGCCUCAUCUGCACUAAGGCAAGUCACAUCAACAUUUUCAUGAUGCCACUUUAAUAUUUGUGAUAUUUUUCCUACUUGAAUGAAUGAUUUAAUCCAUGCAUUUAAAUCAUUAUCAUUAGGUAAUUUAUAUUCUGUUAGUGUUUGUUUAAGUUUACAUGCUUAUGUUAUCAGAAAGUUUGUAGCUACUAAGUGGUUAUAGAAACUAGAAUUAAUCUUUGCUAUGAUAGAAAUAAUAUGGUUAUGGAUAUAAGUAAUUUAUUAGAACUAUUUUCUUGCAUGAGAAAAAUGGUAAAAUUUCUUAGAAAAGAUUAUGUUUAAUGUGAGUUUAAUCCUAACCAGAGAAAUAUGAGGUGUUGCUGAUGGUUAUGCUUAGUGUGGAUUUAGUUGACUCAGUCAUUUCCGUUAAUAUGUGGUGCAUAUGUUAGUGAUUGCAUUUCAUGACAUACUAUGACACCGGUUAUUUUCAAUUUAAGUUGAACCUGAUAAUAAUACAACUUGAAUUUAUCGUUGACCGAGUCAUGGUGCCACUGAAUCGAGUUUUUCCCAGUGCAACCACAUUUGCCUGUAUGGGAAGGCCUUUAUUCGGUUCGUUGUCAUGCCUCUGGUCGGUGCCUCCAACUAGGGAAGGUUAUGGGCGUGCGGUACCCUGGCCCGGUAAGCAGACAUAACCUUGUAAGCCCGUUGUUGAGAUUUCUGGUACCGGUCCCCGUGAGGGACGUUGGCCAGGACGGUGGUCAUUGUGUCUUUGGUAGACAUGGGGCCACCCAAUACUAGCCCAGUUGGGGAGUGGGUCGGAGUGGUCGAGAGAGUGUCAUGGCAAUGGAGGGGUUUCGUCGGGAUGCCGUUGGUCCACCCGAAUGGGAGCACGAGGCCAUGGGUUCCGUGGUGUGGGUACAAUGCACUACCUCUGCAGAGUGUAUUAAUCUAUCGAUAGCCGAGUCCACUGUUACGGACACCUCGAAAGUAGGUCACACCAUGGGUCAACAUUUAAUUAAUCUUGCACACUAAGUCAUGAACUUUGCACUGUUAAGGAUGGCAGGAAGGUCAUCCUGUCGAUUGAGACCAAGUGUUGGUCGUGGUUGUGAUCGCCGGAAGGAUCACUGUUUGAGACCAAAUAUUGGUCGUGGCUGUGGUCACCGGAAUGAUCACGAAGUAUCCAUAGUUAAGAUCAUGUGGUUGGUACAUUUGUGAUCCAGAAGCGAUCACCGUGGUAAGAUAGUCCGAGGGACUGUGCUCAUAAGAGCGCGAUCACAACAUGUUGGUUACAUUGUUGCAUUACUAAUAAUUGGUUAAUUAUCAUGAUAUUGUUUGUCAUUAUGUUUAUGCCUGUUGUGAGCUUGCAAGUACAUUCAAUGUACUGACCUGGCGUGUCAUGCCAGGUUUCAGGAAAGUCCCAUGGAAAGAAGUGCUGCUCGAGUCUAGAUCGUGUCCACAUCGGUGUCCUUGUGCUAUGGAGUUCCGCUACGACGUUGUUCUGCUGCCACGUAGUUGUUAUGAUCGAGGCCCUUUUAUGUUCACUAAAUAAUGUACAUAUUGUUCAGCCGCACCAGGUGUGCCGCUUGGCCUCGAUACCUGUUGUAAUGUAAACUUUGAGCCGCUAGUGUCAAUAAAGCGGUUGUUUACUGUACCAAGAUGUUGUGUGUUGCCAGAAGACAUGGUCUCUGGGCUGGCAAUGCAAGGUAAACCGGUCGCUCUAAGCCAGGGUGCCACAGCACAGUCGCUCCUGCACGUCGCAAACCCAACCAAGAGAACACAUCC